CUAUAUAUCGUAGGCCUUCCUAUGGGUUAACGUAACCAAUGGUUCAGUUUCAUUUACUUUUCAAAACAACCUGUGAAUGGUGUUGUGGUUGUAACUUGGCUCUGAUACAACUUUAAUCUGUCACGCCCUGGGGUCCCUUUUAAUUUGAAACACAGCGGAAAAGCGUCUAAAUUUUUUUUUGAAAAUCUGACCCCAGGGUAUGCCAGAUCCGCCACAAAUACAGAAAAUCCACUGUUCACACAGACAGAGUCUCCCCUGUAUUUGCACGGCAUCACACAAGUACAACAAGUAAACCGAAUACAACCACAACUACAUAAAUAUAGAGAUAACUAUACAUUCAUACAUUCACCAUUUACAUCACAGAUUUACAUUCAAUGUCUAAACAUAAAUCCACAGAAAACCUUUUGAAAAUUGUUCCCUACUCGAAAACUUUUAUCUUUUAAAAACGCUAUCACGAGGGGUAGAAAACCAUUUUUUCUUUUCACAAAAUCCACGAUUUCUAUAGUUCAUUCAAAACCACAUGAAUUCGAAUAACAUAAACCAACUGAACCAUGUAAUAUCAAAGCUAUUAAUAACAAAAGUAAAUAGGGUAGGAACUAAACCGACAAACUGGGUCGGAAGCUCUAGCGACCACUAUGAACGUGUCUCACGUCUCGUCUCAACUCUCACCGCCGGCGAUACCUGAAAAUGGUGGGGGAGGUGAGAACAUGUAAACAUGUCUCCCCUCCCAGUGGGUACCGCAAGCCGAUNCGACAAACUGGGUCGGAAGCUCUAGCGACCACUAUGAACGUGUCUCACGUCUCGUCUCAACUCUCACCGCCGGCGAUACCUGAAAAUGGUGGGGGAGGUGAGAACAUGUAAACAUGUCUCCCCUCCCAGUGGGUACCGCAAGCCGAUGAAGGCAAGGAGUACUCACCGGAUCAGGAAGAGCUAAACAACAAUACGGGUCAGUGGAAAUGCAGUAGCAGUAAUAAUGAACGAAAGAGAUACAUUUAUAUAAGAAAGUACAACUACCGAUACUGUAAUGAACAACUGAAAGUAUACAUGCAACAAAAAUAUAGUAGCAAGACAAGUGUAAAGAAAGAAAUGAAGGUAUACAAGCAACAACCUCUACUAUAGCUAUAUGCGUCAACCGAACAAGAAGUCCAAAUAUUCCCAAUCUGGUACCUGCUAUAUUGGUCCGCAGACCUCAAGCGCUGCCUGUCACUAACCUGCACCGACCUGAUUCACCCGCCCCACAGGACGACCCAUCCGGAUAAGCACACCUUCGGUCGGUGGCCAAACCGACCCGGUGUCAUGAAUACCCCCAAGUGCUGUGACUAAGUCAUGCUGGUAUGCUCAAACAAAAACCGACUGAAGCCGGUGCCUAGGCCGAAGCCAGAAAUAAGGGCGUACAACGCCGAACCACGAUCAACCAGAUCGAAACACAUGACAAGAGAGUCGAUGUGUUGCCUGGACCCAAGAUCCACAGAGUCCAACCGACCAGCAAGGUCACUGAUACGAAGUACGAGAACCGACCAACGAGGUCAACAGAUACGGAAUGCAACAACAGACUAACCAGGUCAACAGAUAUGCAUAUAGAUAGAACUACUCUACUCCUACUCAGGAUACUAAGCAUGCAAACAAUGAGCAGAGUAUAAUGGAAUAACAUGGGUGCAAGGCCCAAUAUAUACUAUGCAAUAGUAACAACAACAGAGUAAGGGUAAGAAACCAUCACCGAGCGUGCACCACUGUACCGACGUCGGAUCGAAGUACCCACCUGUAAGGAUGUCGCGCAUGUCUCCUGUCUGCGAAAGAAUGUCAACCGGACCUAAGGAAGGUCCACCGGGUUAGUGUCUAACCCACAGCUAAGAAACCGUAAAAGCAUAACCCACAAACAAACCCACGGAGAUCGGUUUUCCCAAAACCAACUACCGUAACUCGCCGGAAGUCCCGAAAAUCGCACUGGGACUCCGCCGGGACCCACGAACUGUCCCGAAACACACCGACUCGAGCUACGAGUCACCCGCUGCCAUGAAUCAUAAUUAAUCAUGCAUUAUGGUAGCAAACACAACUCCUCACGUCGAAACAAUUAUCGUCGGAUAAUCGUUUCGAUCCGGGUUCCCGGAAGUGUCCAAUUUGACACCGGAACUCCCCGUCGCUCACCCGUCAUUUUUGAACCCUCGAAAUGAUGCGAGUGACCAGUCAACAAGGCCCAGCGACUAAACAAUCCAUCACGAAGCACCGUCGGAAUAAUUCCGAACCGAACCCGCGUUCCAUCGGCGAAUUUCGCCGAGAAACGCUCCGAAAAUCACUUUCUGAUUUUCAACAAGGCUUGAGGCCUUAGACAAUCAGUCUAUAGGUUAUCCUCAGCCCAUACUUGCUGCCAACAGCAGCCACGACGAACAAAAAGCAUAAAAGCCCUCCCGAUUGCAAGAAAUCCCAUUAUUUUAGGUGAUUUCUAAGCUUUUAUGGUCCAACCGAGCAAUCCGUUAACUCUUUUGCCAAACCGAAACACCUGCUGAUAGGUCUCGAUAUGCCGGAGGCCGUGCUCACCUUUCAGAGCAGUUCCGUCCACUGUGGGAAGCGCCACAAGCGACGCGACAAUCAGCGAAGCAGCGCGCACAGCGAAAAUAAUGCUUCUAACGCGCAAACCGGGGCACCGUUGACCCCAACGAAGGUAAGCAUGAUGUUCAGAACGAAAUAACGAUGAUUGUGCUCCUUCCCACAGUCAUCGGGGUGCCUUUGGAUUGCCGGAAAGAUGACCGAAACCCCAAACUACAGUGCUGGAACUUAAAACAAUAGCAUACCGGAGCAGUGGGAGCUAGGGUUGGUCUCCGGCGGCCGGACGCCGAGCGCUCCGGCCGAGAAUGGAAGCGGCCGGUCCGAGAGGUCCGAGGUAGGUGCUGGCCGACGGCGGGCAGCAGCCGGUGGCGCGGCGGAGGAGAUCAAGCCCGCCAACUGCUCUCGGGUUCAAGGCUUCCCGGCGACGCGGCGGCGGCCGGAGGAGGUCGGGGCGACGUCGAUCCGUCGCCGGAGGCCGAGGGGAUCGUGAUGCACCCCUCCGUGGGCGGCGGCGUCAUGCGGUGGCCGAGGUGGCUCGGCCUCGACCCGCACAAGCUCUGGGCGGCCGCAGAGUGGAAGAGCGGCGGCCAGCGGCUUCGGGGACGUCCGGGGAUGCACGCCGGAGGUCGCCGGAGGUGUCUGGAGGGCGGCACUGCCGGCGGGGAGCGGCGACGGCGAGCGGAAACAGAGAUCAAACCACCCUGGCCGGAUCUAUCCCGAACUUGGCCGAAACUUGCCAGGGCGGCGUCGGCGGCGCACGGGGACGGUGGGGGCCGGCGGGAACGGCGCCAGAGGCCGGUCUCGGCCAGGGGGUGGAGGCCCGACUCGUAUGGGUGAUUCUACACAGGUGGUGGCUUCCCCAGCGCCAAUGCCUAGGAAGGUGGUGGACAGGUUGAGAGAGAAGGAUGUAGGGUGGCCGGGUUCCAAAUUUUCCGGCAGCCGGGACACCCACCGGCGGCCGGGAUGCGCGCAUGGGUUGGGCAGAGGUGCAGAGGUGUCGGCUAGGGUUAGUUCGGCUAAGGGGAAGGCCAAAAGCUAGGGUUUUCCUCGUGAAAGCCUAGUGCAACUACUAUAUACAUAUGUACAUUUUGCAAGAUAGUUCCUCCUAGGGAUAAUAUUCUCAGCCCAGUCCCUCACAGUGCGCGUAUUUUACACAUACGCACUUCCACGUCCGAUCUCACGCGAUUCGGCACAUGAAAUAUGAGGGUUUCGCGCGAAAUACCAAAAAUGCCGCUUUGACCUCUUAGCGAAAACUUUGUAAUUGCCGGAGAUCCGUCCGUCGGAUUUUCGAUCCGACUGGACUAUCGCGUUCAGCACGUCGGGGGCAUCAAAACGUCAAUCUUGUUUCAUUAGGUUUGGUCGCUGAUUUGCAACAAACCCAUCCCCUCUCCAACUAUUCCAUAUAUUACACACAUAAACCUAUGCGUAAACCCAAAAACCGUAAAUUCAAAUCCGAAUAUGGACUCCCUACCUCCAGUAGAUACUAGAAACAUCUCUCACCCAACCCCAAGUCACAGGCACAAAGCACGAGGAGCUUUAUAAUGCAAGGAUAGCAAAGAGCGAAAACCUUCUUUUUGAUAAAACUCCUUUUUUCUCAAAAAUCGUGCAUUAGAUCUGAAAUCCGUCAGUGCCAUUGGGUUCAGAAUAGUCGAGCCAUUCGAAAUGAGCUAUUGGAGUCCUAUGUUUGGAGUCCAAUACGCACCAGAAGCCAACUCUACUCUGUGGCUUUUCCGAAAAACCAAAGUUACUAUUCACUUAAGUGAAUACUAUUAAUCGCGUAACUUCUCCAUUCUAACUUGGUUUCUCCUGAAACUUGACGAGUGCUUUUGUAAUUAAAUUACGCAUAAAAACAUCGUCAACGGAGAGUUUAGCUGCAUUGGCAAAAUCUCAGUCCUUACAAAAUUCCCUUCAUUAUAGGUGAUUUUUAAUAAUAUACUAAAAGAUAUUAAUUUUUUGCCUUCUCAAUUCCUUCUCACGCGUAAAUUAUAUUAAUUAUAUUUAAUUGGUAUAAUAAAAGUUAAUAAUAAUAUAUUAAUUUUAUUUCCUAAUUAAUAAAAAUAUAGAGUAAUAAUAGUUAUUAGUAUUGAUACCCUAAUUAUAAUUAUAGGUGACUUUGAAAUAAAAUCUCAUUCAUUAUAGGUGAUUUUUAAUAAUAUAGUAAAAGAUAUUAUUUCCUUAAAAAAUCUAAUUUUAUUUUUUCUAAAGUAGAAAAUCUAUAUUUGAGCUUGUAAUAAUUUAUUUCCAAAUAAAGAUAAAUAUUUUCCUUCUCACGCGUAAUAUCCGCACCCGCCAAUUCUUUCGCAACGUAAUAUCCGUAAAUUUCUCAAAUAUCUCAACAUAAUUAUAGGUGACUUUAAAAUAAAAUCCCCUUCAUUAUAGGUGAUUUUUAAUAGCAUUAUAAAAGAUAUUAAUUUUUUGCCAUUAGAUCUUAUCUAAUGAUUGAAAAUAAAAGUAUCUGUUACUUUUUGUGAUAAUAUUACCCUCUCAUUUAUAUCAUAUUUUCUAUCUACGCGUUUUUCAAAUAUUUUUCUUCUCACGCGUAAUAUCCACACCCGCCAAUUCUUUCGCAACGUAAUAUCCGUGAAUUUCUCAAAUAUCUCAUUAAUCCACCUACCAUUUGAAUUUAAUAAUAUAGUAAAAAUCUAUAUUUGAGCUUGACACGUGGCAAGUAUAUAGAAAGCCACGUGUCAGCUCCUCACAUAGGGUUCAUAAAGGGUUCUACUUUAGUAUAUCGUAAUAGAUUCUACCUUGAUGAUAAUAGAAAAAUAUUAUUCGUCUUUUUUAAUACUGUGAUGAGCUUUUAUUUUAUUUUAAACUAAUUCAUUCAUUUUACUUGUUAGAUUGAAAUAUUUUUAGAAAGAAAUAUACUAUAAUUUUAUUUUUUAAUUUCAUUCUUUUUUUUUUAAUUAUUUGAUACUGAGAUAAAUAAUAUUGAAAAAUAUUAAUGGAUAGUAAGAAAAAAAAAGUGAUGUUAAUAGUUAUACUAAUUUACUAUUGUAUUGUCUUUCCGCUGAAUCGCGCGGGCCCUUAACUAGUUUAAUAGUAAUUGGUAACUCAGAGCGACAACAAGUACUAAUAAUAAUAAUAUUUAAUUGUAGUUAGUAUUAAUAUUUUAUUAAAGUAUAAUUUACACAGGUAUGAAAUUAUUUUGACCUAACUCAAAUAAAUUUUAAGUUGAAAAUGAGCUGAAUUAUCCUAGCUCGUUUUAAUUUUGAGCCAAGCAGAAACUAACACGAAUUAUUUUCAAGCUGAUCUCAAGUUUGUCCCAACUGGCUCAUGUUUGGCUUGCUGAUAACUCUAGCCAUAUCCGGUUAAGAACUAAGAACUAAUAAUUCAUGUAGUUGUAUAGAUUCAAAAAUUAAGGUAAAUAACACCUUCGGUCCUCAAACUAUUAGGGUGCAUGACAUUUGGUCCUCAAUAUUUAAUUUUUUGUAAUUUCUGACUUUAACUUUUUAAAUUAUUAUAAUCAAGUCCCACAAUCAAAUUUAGAAGUAAUGGAAAUAUAUUAUAACUAGUGAUGAAAUAAUAAUUAAGAUGAUGCAUUAGCUGUAAUGGUUUACCUCCCAUCUUAUUAUUAUAACCAUUUAGGUACCGUUUGGUUCGGGUAUAAGCAAGAACUAGCUAUUACAGGGAUAGGUACAAGUAUGGGGAUAAGAAAAAUAGUGUUUUGAUGAAAAUUGGGUUGUUCCCGGGGAUAAGAACAAUUUUAGGUAGUUUUAUAUAGAAAAUGGAGGUGUUGGUGGGGACAACCGAGAACUACUAUUCUCGGGUAAAAAAUUAGCGUUUGGGUAUAAAGGGGGGGAUAAGGGCCUAUUCCAAUCUCUAUUGCUCAGUGUUGGUUGCCGAUCAUCCCGACCUUUGACCCGGUCAAAGAUCCUCCUCGGGGAGCGCGUCGGGGUAAGGAACAGCUGUGGAUAGUGACCCUCGAAGUUUGCGCCCUUCGACUGGAUCAAGCGAUUCGGCUGACGAGGGAUCGAGCCAGUCGGAUUCCAAAACCUUUACUGUAGAAUCGGAUCGGUUGAAUGAGCCGAAUGUAUGAACUGUGCAGGGAUCAAUGUCGGCAGAAGAGCCGAAUGGAAGAAGUACAGAGUAACUGGUCGGCUGAAAAAGCCGAAUACCUAUAUAUAUAUAUAUAUAUAUAUAUAUAUAUUAAUAAAACAGAGUGUGCCCGAAGGGUAUACAGACUCCGCAAAUAUGUAGUUUACAACAGAGUGAUGCCCGUGGGGCAGACAGAUUCCAGGGUUCUACUUAAAAGCUACUCCUAGGAAAGCAAUAAAUGUGAAAAAGAAAAAAAUACAUUUAGACUACUCCUAGAAAGCAAUAAAUGCAGGAAAGGAAAGAUAUGAAAAUGCGGUGGUCUUCUCGUUCAGGGGAGAGAAAGACCCUUAUUACAGGCUUUGAAGUUACUAUUUACAGUAAUGUCUUCUCACCCCACAUUAUUGGUCGGUUGAAAGUAGUGGGGGGAGUGGUUGUAACCAUGAUCGUGGAAGUUACGCCCAUUCCUCAUGGAAGUUGCGUUCCAUCGUGGAAGUUAUGCCCACUUCUCAACUAUUCCCGCCUAAAACCUUUAGGCGCCUUAUUGCCGACUCCUGGUGUACCACGUGUCCUUAUUGGCUCAUACGUGGAUUAGGUCGGCAUGUUAAUUUCAAUUUUGGCAUCAACAAUGCCCCCCCAAUAGUCUUUCGAAUGAGCAUUCGGAUGACUAUUAGUGCCAAAUCGACUUCUCAAAUGACACAGCCGAGACUCAAGCUUUUGUUUCGCUGGUCUUGGUUGGCUUAAAGAAAACGGCUCUUUAUCGUCCCAGCCGUAUAUACCUCGGCUUCAUCAGCCGAUUCUUUACUCUUACUUGAUUGGUUCGGCUCUUCUUGAACCGAAUGUUCUUCUAUCAAGAAUUUCUCCUUAAAGAAAAUGGCUCUUUACCAACGGUAUAUACCUCGGCUUCAUCAGCCGAUUUUUCACUUUCACUCGAUUGGCUCAGCUCUUCUUGAACCGACUAUUCUUCUAUCAAGGAUUUCUCUUUGCCUUUGCUUUGCAUUUUAUAUCGGCUCUAUUGCAGCCGAUUGUCCUCACUUUCCUUCUGAAAUUGCUCAUAUUGGGCAACUCGAACACCUUGAUCAAAUAGGUUAGAAAAAUACUUAUCUUCAAAAUGGUCUUUUAUCUUAAAAUGCAGACCAUUUAAUGCCAUUUUGGCGAACUCUGAUUCUGGCAAUCUCAUAAAGCACCGGGUUUUGGCUAUUUUGAUACGGUUCAAAUACUCUUCGACCAUUUCACCCGACAUUUGUCGGUAUAAAGCCAAGUCGGCGACCGAUAAUUGUGGCUCCGACCUAUAGAAUCGCUCAUGAAAUUUUCUUUCUAAUUCGUCCCAAUUUUGGACGGAAUUGGCUAAUAAACUAAUAUACCAAGUAAACGCCAUUUUAGUUAACGACGUGUCAAACAAUCUUAAUUUUAAAAAUGGAUCUGUCGCGGCUUCCCUGCACUGUGCCGUGAACCGUGCCACAUGUUCGACCGUGUUUUCGGUCUCAUCCCCAGAAAAUUUAUCAAACUUCGGCAUUUUCCAGUUUGCCGGGUAUGGAUGCUCUGUGCCUAUAUUUGCAGGUUAAGGUGAUCUAAAUAUAAGCCGCAUUGCCGGCCUUGCGCCUACUCCAAAAGUAUUUCAGAUGGCUUCUUCGAUUUGCGCAUAUAUUUCAUUAUUGUUUCCCUGCAAAGGAACUUGUGCUUGUGCUGCAUUCGGUCCUUGUAAUGGUCCGAAGUUUUGUACUAUAGGAUUUGCUUCUUGAAUAUUUGGAGCCUACCCCCUAGCUCUAGCCCCUAUAUUUUGGGGCUGGUAUGUUGCCAUCGACGGAGGUGGUGGCAAUUCCCAUGUAAUUUCCGGCUGUUAACCGGUAUUAACGACGGCCGGUCUGUAAGCCGCUUGGAAUGGUGCCCCCUGGUAUUGGGGCUGUCCAUUUACCGGUAUUGCAGGAUUUUGCAAUACUGGUGUCAUCAUAGGCCUUUGUAAGCCUGUCAUUGGUUGCUCAUUUCGAGUCAAUAAUUGCCCUAUUCGUGCAAUAUUUUCAUUAUAGGCCGUGAUGACGGCCAGCACCGCAUCUAGUCGAGCGGUACUUUGAUGGAUAUUUUGAUCUAAAGUUUGCAAAACUCGGCUCAUCUGGCCGAGCGCCUGAGUUAGAUUCGACUCUUGAUGAGCCGACUGUCCACUAGUUUCUCCUUCAACUGGCAAAACUGCUUGACAUUCGCUAGCAUUGUCUGAAUCACUAGGUUGAUCACUCCCAGAAUUUCUAAGAACAACCCUAUUGCGCAAAUUCAUGGCAUUAUCAUCAGCCAUAAUUUCAAUAAGAAUGUGAAUUUACCUAAAAUCGAGUCCCAUCGGGCGUGCCAAAAAUUGUUGGUUGCCGAUCAUCCCGACCCUUGACCCGGUCAAAGAUCCUCCUUGGGGAGCGCGUCGGGGUGAGGAACAGCUACGGAUAAUGACCCUCGAAGUUUGCGCUCUUCGACUGGAUCAAGCGAUUCGGCUGACAAGGGAUCGAGCCAGCCGGAUUCGAAAACCUUUACUAUAAAAUCGGUUCGGCUGGAUGAGCCGAAUGUAUGAACUGUGCAGGGAUCAAUGUCCGCAGAAGAGCCGAAUGGAAGAAAUACACAGUAACUGGUCGGCUGAAAAAGCCGAAUACCUAUAUAUAUAUAUAUAUAUAUAUAUUAAUAAAACAGAGUGUGCUCGAAGGGCAUACAGACUCUGCAAAUAUGUAGUUUAUAACAGAGUGAUGCCCGUGGGGUAAAUAGACUCCAGGGUUCUACUUAAAAGCUACUCCUAGGAAAGCAGUAAAUGUGAAAAAGAAAAUAUUACAUUUAGACUACUCCUAGAAAGCAAUAAAUACAGGAAAGGAAAGAUAUGAAAAUGCGGUGGUCUUCUCGUUCAGGGGAGAGAAAGACCCUUAUUACAGGCUUUGAAGUUACUAUUUAUAGUAAUGUUUUCUCAGCCCACAUUAUUGGUCGGUUGAAAGUAGUGGGGGGAGUAGUUGUAACCAUGAUCGUGGAAGUUACGCCCAUUCCUCAUGGAAGUUACGCUCCAUCGUGGAAGUUAUGCCCACUUCUCAACCGUUCCCGCCUAAAACUUUCAGGCGCCUUAUUGCCAACUCCUGGUGUACCACGUGCCCUUAUUGGCUCAUACGUGGAUUAGGUCGGCAUGUUAAUUUCAAUUUUGGCAUCAACACUCAGUUCCAUAUUUGAUAAUAAUUAGCACCGUGAGUUCUAUUUAUUUUAACAUUUGUUUUAAUAAAUUGGUCGAUGAACAUCUUUUUUUCUUUUUUUUUUUUACUUUCUUUUCCGUAGCAUUUUAGUUUAUUGCCAUUAAUUGAUAUUGAUGCUGCUAUCUAUAAAGUUUCUAAUUGGAAAGUGAUAUAUUACUACGUGAGUCAAAAUUAACAAAUCGGUCAAAUUAACAGAUGCUAAGAUAAUUAUUUAGAUAAAAUACAUUUUGCAAUAUAUAUUGAGCUUAUUAUCUAUCUAUAUAAAAUAUAACUAGUAAAAUGUACGUGUAAAUGCACGUAAUAAUUAUUAGAAAAAGUUAUAAUUUUUUAAAAUUAUUUUUUAAUUUUAGGCCAUAUUUUAUAUGAUUGCCAAAUAUGUAUCUAAAAAAUUUAAAAUAAUAAAUCACACUAUUAAGAAAGAUAAAAUCCGUUAUCUUAAAAAGAAAAUAUAUUUUUGAAAUUACUUUUGAAAUUAAAUAGAAAAAUACUUUUGAAAUGCAAAAAUUACUCUUGAAAUUAAAUAGAAAAAUAAAAUCUGUUAGGAAAUAAAUUUUUGAAAUUAAAUAGAAAAAUAAAAUCCGUUAUCUUAAAAAGAAAAUAUAUUUUGAAAUUAAAUAGAUAAUAUCUAAAAAAGAUAUUAUAAAAUAAAAUAGAAAAAUAUCUUUUAUAGGAUUAUCACACCCGUAAUCUGUUAUAGAAAACUUACUUUUGAAAUUAAAUAGAAAAAUUUAUAUUUUAAGAUUUUCACAUCAGUAAUCUGUUAUAGAGAACUUACGUAUUCAUUGCUGUUUCUAUUUCUAUUCUUAUUCUUAUAUUUAAAAUUUUUCGUACGGAAAGAGAAAAAUGGGCGCUAAUUUUUCCGCCGAAAAAUGGGUCUGUCGACAGACCCAAAUUUGAAUAUACGUGCUUUUAUAUAUAGUAUAGAUUUGUUAAGUAUGCACCACAUGUUUACUAUUAGUCAUUGCAAGUACAUAAUUACUAAAAUGUAAUCGCACACACGCGUGGGUUGGCUAAUUUUUGAAAAGUUUGGAAGUGAAAAAAAUAAUUUAUCCGCAUAAUUUUUUAUUAUGUAGGAAAAUGAUUUACUGGCUAACUUAUUUAGUUGCUUUUCUAAAUAAAGUUUUAAUCUUUAAACUAAAACUUUCUCUUUUUUUUUGAAAGGCAAAGAUGUUCCAAAAAUAUAAAGUUUUGGACAGUGGAUUGAUUAUAAAAAAUUCUUCAAAUAUAUUCUUAUCUCUAGAAUUUACUAAGAAGACUUAAAUUUUAGAAGGAUAUAUUUAAAAGAAAACGAUAAAUUCAAAAAUUUUAAAUGAUAAAUAAGAAUAUUUAAGCAAAAGUCCUAAUAAUUAAUUAUCUUUUCUUUCUUAUUUAUCAAUCAGUAAUAAAUAAUAAAACUGUUUUUUUAUAUUAUUAAAUUGAAAAGAAUAAAUAAUCCAACUCAACCAAUAACAUCCUGCCACGUGUCCUCUCAAAGUAAAUGUCCUGUUAAACUGUAUUUAGAGAUUUAUUUUUAUAAUUAUUUUUUAAAAAAAAUGAUUGUAUAAUUAUAAAAAUUGAUUGAAUUAUUUAUAAAAAAAAUUCUGCCAUAGACUCAUUCUCGUAUCCGAAGCCGACGCGGCUGACGCCACCAAUGUCUAUAAAUACCCAACGAUCCCGUUCCAUUCCUUCGUCCUCGCAUCAUCAUCUCCAUGGCGAUCGCUGGGGAUGCGAAUUGUGAUCGCUAGGGUUUCAAUCUAGUUUCCAUCGUGAUCGCUAGGGUUUCGACCGCCCUGCUCGCAAAUCUUGCUCUCGGGGACUGGUCCUUCUAGGGACAAACCGGUCCCCGUACCCGAAAAUGCCCAGGGCUGGGCUGUGCAUAACUUGCAAAGUGGAGGGGGUUUUUGGUAAUUGUGCAUUAUAUGAGUGCUAAGGGGUCAUCCUUCUCCCUCACUCUCUCAUUUCCUCAACCCUAAACCUAAAACUUCCCUCUCUCUCUCUAAACUCUCUUCCUCUCUCUCUAGAAGGUGAAGAAGGAGUGGGUUUUGGUGGAGAAGUAAGCAAGAAGAAGGGUAUUCAUCAUCUUCUUUCUCCUCUACACCAUUGGAGCUAGCUUUUGGAGGUAAGCUUGAAGCUCAACCAUGGUAGAUUUCUAGGGUUUAGAUCUUUAAGCUCUAAAAUGGUUUAAAUAGAACUCUAGCAUGCUAAAGAGAUGCUUUAUGCAUGAGUUUGGAGAUUUGGAGAUGGAUUCUUGCAUAAUUGCAAGUUAGAGCUCCAAAAUGGGAUUUUGCCUUGUGCUAGGGUUUGAUCUAAAUUGAUCAUGUGUAAACCUAAUUGCUAGGUGUUUGAACGUGUUGGCGAAGACGGUUCGACGAUUCGUCGAGCGGGUGCAAAGUUAUUGGCAAAAAGGACCUUCCGAGCUUCGUUUUCGCCUGGGAGGCCGAGACGACGUCGUAAAAUCGCUAAAUCGCAUUUCUAGAGUUGUGACAACACCAGAAGGUGGGUGGUGUCAUUCGAACCGGACUCCUCUUUAUGUCUUAGUGCAUUGUAAUCUUGCAUCUCUUACAUAUAUGCAUUGUAGGAUAAAUGUGUAUUUUCAUUUCCUCAUGCUUUCCUAGAUGAUAUCAUAGUGUGAGUUGAAUGCUUGAUAUAGUGGAUAGAUGAGGAUUGGGUCGAGACAUUGAAUCCUAUAGUGCUGAGAUAAGAGAUGGACUCGAUGUGUCACGCCCCGCGACCGCCCGCCUAUUUGGCCGGGUCGCGGCGCCGCAACAGAUCGCCGAACGGACAGGGUUUCCCCUGUACUGCGGACAGAGUCUCCCCUGUACGUUCAAGGCAUAGCAAUCAAUACAAUGUGUGAAGUUCCAACCAGGAACACAUUUCAAUCAAGAUUGCAUAAUGGAAGGUAUCAAACAACAUAAACACAUCCUAUAUUAUUACAUUCAUUCAUAUUCAUGCAUUUUACACCUCAACUACCAUUCCUUUUUCAUCCAAAUGCAAUUUAAAUUAUUACAACAUUUAUAUCUUUAAUACAACAUGUUACAUUGUGUUCUUUUCAUUUCUUUAACCCCUAAGCUAUGUCGACGGGGUACUGCUAGCUCUAGUCUCUGGGGUAGGGCGCUAUCUACGGAGCUACGCCCUUUCUUCGCGCCGCCGCGCAGCUCACGUGCGAACCUGUAAACACCCCCAAAUCACGUGGGGUGAGAACCAACUCCAUGGUUCCCAGUGGGUACGGCCACCCAAGGGAAAUGCUCGACCAACAGGUUCAAAGGAGGCAACUGCAGGUUAGUUUAAUAAACAGAUAGAUAUAUAUAUNAAAACAAGCAAAAGAGAGCUUGUCCAAGUUCUUAGAGCUCAUUUAGGACCAUUAGAACCGUUCAUAGGGUGUUUAGAACAAACCCUAGAAAUCCACCAUUAGAGAAUCAUAAAGAACACCAUGGAUUUCAUGUGUUCUUGGCCUCUACGAAGUUCUAAAGCUUGUAGGUAGAUCAAAACCAAAGAUCUAGGGUUUAAAACCCAUUCUACAAAAAUCUACCAUGAGAGGCUUGGAAGUUUACCUCUCCUAGUGCUCCAAGGGAGAGAAGAAGAUGAAGAGGAUGAUGAUAGUGAUGAUCCUCUUCCUCUCCUCCAUCUUCUCCUUCUUUUCUUCUUUUCCUUUCUUCUCUUCUCUUUUUCCUUCUUUUUUUUUUCUUCUUCUCUUCUCUUCUCUUUGCUACCCACGGUUGAGAGGGAGAGAGAGAGACAUGGGAGGGAGAGAGAGAGAGAGAGCUGGGGUUAUAACAUAUUGUAAUAAUUGCCAAAAGACCCCCCAAACAUUCAUAUUUGCAACAGAUCAAUUCUGUGCUGUUUGGGCUCCUUGUACCGGUACACGGUUUCUUGUACCGGUACAAGGCCUGGCAGAUAGCCCAACCCGAGAGCUGGCUCUCUCGGUUGCGCAGUACUUGUAUCGGUACAAGACCCCUUGUACCGGUACAAGGCCUGGCAGCUCCAAGCCGAGUACUUCGCUGGUUGUACCGGUACAACCAUUGGGCUUGUACCGGUACAAGACAUCCAGAAUGUCAUUUUUGACUUCGUUUCCACUCUCUUUCGCGCCGUUCGAUGCCAAAACCCUUUCAACUCUUUUAGAGCUUACUUUUAACCCUUCCAACAGUGUUGGAAUGAUAAUUGGGACUUGUCUAUCCAUCUUCUUCGCAGACGUUAGUCGAUUUGGCUAAAGCUCGAUAUUUUUUCCGAAACCUCGGGGGUUACAAAUGUCAAUAUGGUUAAACUAUGUUUAACAACCACUUUCUUGAUGCUAAUCAUGUCUCUAUUUUCAUUGUCACCCUUAUUUACUAUUGUCCAAGUCCGACUUAUGUUCUUUAACAAUAGGUUCAAUGCCACAUAUGAUUCCAACCUAAGUUCUUUGACACUAGGUUCAUGUCCAACCUAUGUUUAUUCACACUAGGUUCAUAUCAUCCAUGUUCAACCUAGGUUCCUGACUCUAGGUUAAGUGCCACUCGAUCUAAUAUAUAGAUGUCCAAUGUCAAGGUCUCUAUUAUAGAGUUAUCGAUCCAAUUCAUGCAAUCAUCUAGCAUUUACAUAGCAUAUUCAUCAUACAUUCUACGAUAAUUAUUAUAUAGCAACCAUACAAAGCAUUUGCCUAGCUUUUACGUCAUGUCAUUUACAUGCAUUCUUUUAGUGUUAACUACAUGCAUCAUCUCAAUGCCAACAUAUAUUACAACUAGCAUGUACUUCCCAAUGCAUUAUUAUGCAAUUAUCCUGUAGUAUGCAUUUUCAUAAUGUCAAUAUGCGUAUUGUUAUCUAACAUGUGUCCACAUUUAGCAAUUUCUCAUAACUCAUAUGAUUAACAAUAUGUUAACAUUCAUUUAUAUGCUCACGUUCUUUAAUACAUGUCAACAUGAAUCUCAUAAUGCUAAAUGCCCCUAGCAUGUAUUUCACUAAGCAUACAUACUAAUAUGCAAAUUUCCAACUAGCAUGCAUUUAUACAAUGCUAAUAUGCCCGUAUGCACAUACACAUAUGCAUCAACAAGAUUCCAUAUUUCGCUUUGACAUGCGGGGGGACCAAGUCGCUUCGGUAAAUACAACCCACCUCAAAUCGCUUUCCGAUUGCUUGUCGACACUUGCAAUCGGCCUCCCGCGGCACCCGGCACCCGGUUUGGCCCGAUCUCUCGCGCGACCACCCGAACGGCCUCCAAUCCACGAUCCGAAAAUUAAAGGUCUUCGGUUAUGUGCCACGAUGCUUCAAAUCCAUUUUCAUGAGUUUACGAUAUCGCCUCGGCCCUCCAGGCAGAAACGAAGCCUAAACGUCUGUUUCUUUAAUAACUUCGCAACGGCUCGACGAAUCGCCGAACUGUCUUCGCCAACGCGUUCGUUUACCUAGCAAUUAGGUUUACAGAGGGUCAAAUGAGAUCAAACCCUCAUAUUUACAAAACUAGCAUUUUUGAGCCCUAACAUGAAUUAAUCUUCAAAUAAUUCAAAUUAAAUGGGACAACAUGCCAACUAAGCUCAUUAGAGGCUAUUAGAACACUUAAUGUGAAGGAUUAAGCAAAAUCCCAAAAGCUUACCACAAUGUGAACGCCGCGACGAAAACACGCCGCUCCAACGGGCGCACGAAAGCUCGAUUCGUCGCUCCCAACGCGUUCGCGAGCAUCAUCUCCGCCAACGCUGCGAAUUUGAGCGAGAGAUUUGGAGAGAUGAGAGAGAAAUCUAGAGAGAGAAGGGAGGGUUUUCCCUCUCCCUCCAUGCGGGCGUGCGGGUGUGUGUGGGUGUUCACGGCUGAAGGAGGAAGAAGAAGCAUCAAGCUUUUUUAUACAUUACACCUCAAAACAUUAUUCACUCUAGGCAGUUUUUGCAGUUCGGAACAGUUGGAGUCCUUCCGAAUGUUCGUUUAAGCUCAAAUUUGACAGGCAGGCUCAGUUUAACGUACUGAGUAAGAAUAUAUUUUAAGUUUUCAGUUUCAACCCCAUUUGGUCACUGAAAACUGUGCCGAAUGUAAUCUUUAUCAGAUAACUCUCGGAUUUUAUUUCUCACUCUACGGGUGUCAGAAAAAUAUGAAACUUUAAAUCUAGGCUCAUAAAAAUAUUUCUGACUUAUCCUCCAAUUUUCAUAAUUUUCUGAGACUGUGCAUUUUCUGCUAAUUUAUCUGUCCCGUUUUCAACAGAAAAUUCUAGAUCUUCUAUUUUCAUUCCGAUUUCGGCACAAGUCACUUCUGACUUAUGUUUUACUUCUACAAAUCCAAUAAAAAUAGUUUCUCACACUAUUUUUAUUUAUUUUUAUUUUUAUACCAAAAUCUGGUAUGUUACACUGAUACUCCUAGAUGUUCUUUUAUCUUGCUUUAUUUACUGCUUUAUUGUAGACACCUUAUAUGUUUUAGACGUAUGGCAGGUCUGGACGCUUGCCCGGCGGACUUCCGCUGGGUCCCGGGGCAUGACAGAGAGAGUGUCUUGUGUGUGUGUGGGGGAGAGAAAUAAUGGAAAGCCCUCAUUUACCCCUUUACAUAUCCCAUAUAAUGCGUAAAUGCAAUUGGGCCCCUCAACUUUCAUCUAGAUACACUGCCCAGACUGGGCAUUUUCGGGCUGCGUGGACCGGUCUCUCUAGUAGGGACCGGUCCCCGAGAGCACCAUUUUGCAGAGCAGCCUUUCUGCUCAAAUUUUAUGCGUACUGGGACCAGUCUUCCCUCGAGGGACCGGACCUUCAGGGACCGGUCUCUCUUGAGGGACCGGUCCCCGAGAGCACAUUUUUGGUGCAGACUGGUUGUUGCACCCCAUACGCGUACGGGGACCGGUCUCUCCCACCAGGGACCGGUCCCCGAGAGCUCAAAAUCUGCAGUUUGCAGAUUUUCACUCUAAAUGCUCUCGAAAACCUCCUACAUGCACUUUUUGCAUUUUAGACGCCUUCGGCCUUUCCGAAGCGUGCUUUGUUAAAGCGUCGGUAAAUACGUGGCGACUCUUCAUUUGUUGACGCUUUUACCGACGCUUUGUAAUGCGUCAGUAGAUUUUUUAGAGAAAUUUAAAAGCGUCACUAACUGCUAAAAAAAGGUCCUUAAAUGUCAUAUUUUUUGUAGUAUUUGAACUUUAUCCUAAUUUGAUUAUAUCAAAUUAACAAUGCAACAUUUGCACAUAAGUCCUCUUAUAAUUUACUAACCGUUAGUAAGUCCUCUUUUGUAAAAUUUACACUUUAAUGCCACUAAUUUGUAAUAAUUACAAAUUAGUCCAAUUAUCAACAUAUUAAUAAUUAGGUCCUUUGGCGAUUCAAAAAUCGCUAUCUAGCCAUCCGAUCAGUCACAACCUCUUAUGUGUGUGACCCCAUGGGUUCUAUUCUAUCUAGUAGUAAGAUAUAUUCUGAUCACUAUCAAUAAUAUCACCAAAACUUCUUUCAGUGGAUCGGAAUAAUUCUAACUCAACCCAAUAAGAAUUAUCGAUCAUCUAGAUAAUUUUCAUGAGUUUCACAAUCCACUAGUGAUGUUUAGCAACAUGUAGUUGCAUUCCGGUAGAAUGGAAUACCGAAUCUCUUGGUACAGUUACUGUGUGAUACAGUCCUUCUAUCAUAAGUCUUGACUGGACGGAGGUUAUAGAAUAACUUGUCAAACCCCAUCGUCUGUCAUGUGUCAAAUUUAUUCAACUCGACUUUCUAAUAUUGGAAACCCUUUUCCGCUAUUAACUCUACCCUGGCUAAGGUCUUUUAAACUCGUUCUCAUAAAUCACAUAGAACUAACGUCCCUAUCUUCUAAAGGAGGUAGAUUCCAUAUAAAUGCACACCCUAUUCCUACAAUGAAUCUAUUACAGCCAACAUGCACCACAAAGACCUGACUGACUAAGGACCAAGUGUAUGUACAGUCAAACUACAGUAACCUCAUUGUGAAUAGCUGAGACACCGCAUGUCAAAGGACCAGUCACACUACUUCAACAUUGAGUAAGGCACUUACGAGUGAGUAGACAUCUAAGUGACUUUUCGCGUUGGUCACGUUUGGUACCCUUGCUCUCUAACAACCAUCUGCGUAUUUGCUUCAGUGUCCCCACAUUGUCGACUGGAGUCUCGUUUAUCAAGAAGGGAAGCGACCUAUGCACCAAUCUCACCAGAUUAAUCACCGUCCUUGUGAUGAUCUCUCGAUCGAGAGCAUUUAGAAAUUAAUCACUAAUGACACAUAUCUCAAAUUCUCAACUCUUGAGAAUAUAUGACAUCAUCUUAUUAAUGAUAUCAUCUUAUUAAUAACAUUAUCUUAUUAAUUCCUUGCAUGAUUCAUAGACACAUACACAAUAUGAAUAAAAAUAAGAACCCAAAUUUAUUAAUAAUAUUUUAAAGUCAAAUACAAAUUUAUAUCCUAAAAAAAAUACAUGUGUCGGACUAGUUGGCUUCUAGGGUAUACAUCUAACAGAGCCAACCCCAACGUGUUCAUGUUUGGCUCGUAGACGCCCCUAGCCGUCACCGAGGGGCGCGGAGGCGGUGAAGGAGGCUAUGAGGGCUAGAGAAAAAAAAUGAAUGAUAGAAAAAAAGAGAAAAAUAAAUAAAUGUAUUUUGAUCAGUUCAUUAAAAAUUCAGCCAAAUAUGUAAAAUUUAAAAUAAUAGCCCGUCGUUAUAAAAAUACAAAACUUAUGAAUUUUUUAUGCAGAAAGACCUUAUAAUUUAAAAUGAAUAAAAAAUUAUACAGGACCUAAUUUUGGCAAACUUUAAUUUGUCUUUCUGUGGCUUUGUUUAUUUUUUUAUUUUACCAUUGUAUUGUUUAAAAAUUAGUUUUUAACUACUCUAUGCAAGCAAUGAAAUCGUCCUUGUUUUUCUUUCAGCAUGGCUUAUGAAAGCAAGAAGCUUCCAUGGUUCACAAUAUGAAUGUAAAAAUAAUAACCCAAAGGGUUGGUGAUUGGUUGGUAUUCGAGGUUUCGAAUUCCAAUUCUAAUUUAUUCAUAUUUUUAGCUAAAUUUAUUUUUAAAUAAAAUAAACAAAAUUAAUAAUAUGCUGUCUAUCCCUAAAAAAAUAAUAAUAAUAAAUAACCCAAGUGUCAGUUGCCACUUUGAUCACGGCGGAGAAAAUAAGCAAUAAGCAAUAGCCAUUAUUUCCCGCGGCGUUGUAAUAUUCCUGUCGCAUCAUUUCUCGACACUCUUCCACGCUCUUUUUCUCUUUCUUCUUUUAAAAAUAUAAUAAUAAUAAUAAUAAUAAUAAUAAUAAUAUAUAAUUAAAUAUAACAAAAUUUGAAUAUUAAUAUUAACUAAUUAAUAUUAACUAAUAAUAAUUGUAAUUCUCGCCUCGUCGCGGUGGUGGUUACGCAGCGGCGAGACAUCAUACACCCACACCCCUGCCUCCCCGCGCUUACCCUCAACCCCACGCAAAACCGAAUCAAGAAACCGUCGCCGAUUCCCGCGGCCACGUCGACCGUCCCCCUCCUCUCCCCUGCCACCGCUCUCACCCAUUCCCUUCUCGGCGUCACCACGUGCGCCCGAUCGCGCCCCGAUUCUCCCGCGAUCCGUUCUCAUCUUUCACCCCCGAUCCCGUUUCCGUUUCCGCUUCCGCUUCCGCUUCCGCUUCCGUUACGUUUCCGUUUUCCCCUUCCCAUUUCCCUCCUCUUCUUCUCCUUCCCUCCUUCCUUCCUUCUCUUCGAUGCAUCCCUUCUGCUGCGCCACCCCCCCCACCGCCACCACAACGGCCGCCGCCUCACCGAGUUCUCCGCCUCCCUCCGCAGCGGUUCCUUCCACGACCUCGGAGGUCUCGUAGGGGGACCCCUCCACCUCCACCACCACAACCACCUCCACGGCGACGUGAAGCUGAACGAGAUCGUGGGCGGGGGGAUCUCCGGGAUCCUGCACAAGUGGGUGAACUACGGCAAGGGGUGGCGCCCCCGGUGGUUCGUGCUCCAGGACGGGGUCCUCUCCUACUACAAGAUCCACGGCCCCGACCGCAUCGACGUCAACCGCGAGACCGAGAAGGGAUCCAAGGUCAUCGGCGAGGAGUCCGUCCGCCGUCUCUCCCGCCCCCGCGACGGCAACGCCCACGCGCUCGCCCGCAAUCCCAUCGGCGAAGUCCACCUCAAGGCGAGCGCCGCCCUUCCCUUCCUAUCAGUAUCAGAUCCCGAGAGACGUGAUGAAAUUUAGUUUUCAUCAAUCGGUUGUUGUCGUUGUUGUCGUUGUUGCUGUUGAGAUUUAGUUUUAGUCUUCUUCUGCAGGUGUCUUCGAUCAGGGAGAGCAGAUCGGACGACAAGAGAUUCUCGAUCUUCACGGGGACGAAGAGGCUGCACCUGAGGGCCGAGACGCGGGACGACAGGGCGUCGUGGAUGGAGGCGCUGCAGGCCGUCAAGGAGAUGUUCCCAAGGAUGUCGAACAGUGAGCUCAUGGCGCCGGUUGACGCUGCCGCCGUGUCCACGGAGCGUCUGCGGCAGCGCCUUCUGCAGGAGGGGGUCAGCGAGUCCGCCCUCCAGGACUGCGAGCAGAUCAUGCGCAGCGAGUUUGCUGCGCUGCAGAACCAGCUCAUGGUCCUCAAGCAGAAGCAGGCCCUCCUCCUCGAAACGCUCCGCCAGCUCGAGGUAUGUACGUUAUAUGUACGUUGUUCCACGCAUUCUUUCUUUUCAUCUGCUAAUUGGACUAUUUGCCUGAAUAUUUCUCUUCCACAAGCUAUGGAUCUUGCAUGCUUUGCCAUUAUCUUCUGCCCAUCAUUCUCUGUUCCUUGAAUAUCACAUAUGGACUUCGAUUUCUCCUUUACAAGCUAUGGAUCUUGCAUCCUUUGCCAUCCUCUUCUGCUCAUCAUUCUCUGUUUCUUGAAUAGCACAUAUGGAGUUCGUCUCAAUCCUGUUUAGACUAAAUUUUUUUUUUUUUUUUUUUUUUUGAUCUAUAGUGCCAGGCGAGAGAUGCGUGAAUUUAGCUAGCCUUUUCUCACAUGAUGAUUAAGUUCUAGAUUUCACAAUUCAUGCAGUUUGCUAUUACUUAUUGGAGCAUAACCUUGUACUUUUCGGCAUUUGGUGAGUGAUGAAAGCAAUCGCCUUUAUGCUUGAAAUUGAUUUGAGCGUUUUAUUUGGGAAUGACUUGUUUAGUAGUGUAAUGUUUUUCAGGAGCUUCUUCUCAAUUUUAUGCAAGUGCUGUAGCAUACUUGCUCUAAGUUCUCAAAUGGGUAUAUAUACAUUUAUAGUGGACUUGCUACUAGCUUGCCAGCUUUUAGGGUUUUUUAAACAUAAUAGUUUUGUUCAAAAUGGUGCUUACCUCCUAAACUUUUACAGCUUUACCUACUGUUGUGAUUUUGUCUCUACCAUUGUGGACGUUAUACUAUAUUGUUGAUUCACUGAUGGAAAUUCAUCUUUUGAUUAGAUUGGGUUAGAUGGGAGUUGUGUCUGGAAUUGUAUUGAUUUGAUUUCAGAAUGGAUCAUUGUGGAAUAAUUGUCAUUAGGGUCUAACUAUCUAGACAAAUUAAGUCCUAUUGGGGUUGAAUUUGGUUAGGUGAGGUUUUGUUAUCUGAUUCUCACCAGAUCAGCUUUGUUAUUCUAGUAAGCAGUUGGUUGCAUGAUUUUUCACAAACCAAAAGAGGGUUGUAGAAGAAUACUAUUUUCGAGCAAUACUUGUUGAUGAAAGAAUAAAGAGGAGAAUCAGAUUUAAGGUCAGAAGUCAUCUCUAUAAAUGAAGCACUACGAGACCCUUAAAGGUGAAUUGUUAAUUUGAACCAAAUGGAUCCUUAUUUAACUGGACAGUGGGAUGUCUAGUUAGUGUGCUAGAGAAUGCUUUGUUUUGGGCCAUACUUAUACAUCAACCUGUGUUACUUGAGAAUCAUAACAAUUUUUCCAGGGACAAUGGUAUGAGAAUGAUUCACCUAGAGAGUAUAAAUAAAGCUAGGAACAAUAUAUAUCGUGGAAUUUUCCCUACAGUGUAUAUAUAUAUAUAUAUAGAGAGAGAGAGAGAGAGAGAGAGAGAGAGAGAGAGAGAGUCCGGCUACUACACUCUUAUGAGUAUAUGCCACUUUGUACUCAUAAGUUUUCGGUCGUUAGAUCUUCUCCUUAGAUCAUUUCCAUCCGUUAGAUCAAACUAUUCUGCCAACAACCCACUCAACCCUAGGGGACCACUAUUAUUCUAAUCGGGGAUCACUAUUAUCCUAACCGCACAUUCCGUCAUCUAACGACCGAAAACUUAUGAGUACAAAGGACUAUACUCAUAAGAGUAUAGUAGCCCUAGCCUAUAUAUAUAUAUAUAUAUAUAUAUAUAUAUAUAUAUAUAUAUAUAUAUAUAUAUAUAGAGUUGGCUAGAAUACUAUCGAUAGCAAACGGCUCCGUUGCCACCCAUUUGUUUUCGAUGAUAGAGCCUCCAAAUCGACGAUCGGCACGUUGAACAUGAUCUAUACCACUUGAAGUGUUUAGAAAUCAAAUUUCAAAUCUUUUCGACAUCAUUUACCUAAUGAUCAAAGGGUUUUAAAAUUUGUAAUUUUAAUGGUCGAUAUGAGGCGUUUUCUCAUUUAACGGUGUAAAGAUAUCCAAAUCAUUGAAUUUUUGUUCGAAAAUAUUUAAAAUAUUUAAAACAAGAUCUAUACUCUUGAUCUUGAUUACAAGACUCCUAUCAUCAUUUUUUAAAGAAUAUUCAUUUUCAGCCGUUCAUUUUGUGUCCACUCGAUGGAUAAGAGAACAAUAUCGGAAAUGUUUGAAAUUUGAUUUCUAAACACUUUAAGUGAUAUAGAUCAUAUUCAACGGUGCGAUCGUCAAUUUGGAAGCUCCAUCAUCGAAAACAAAUGGUGGCAACGGAGCUCGUUUGCUAUCGAUAGUAUUCUAGCUCAACUCUCUCUCUCUCUCUUUUCUCUUCUUCUCUAUAUAUAUAAUAUAUAUAUAAUAUAUAUAUAUAUAUAUGAGUGGGCUGGUAUGCUUAUGGAAGCACGGAACCUCUGUGCUUCCAAGUUGUUUUCGAUGUUUGAAUUUCGAAUCGACGAUCGGCUCCGUUAGAGUUGAUCUAGAGUAUUUGAAGUACCUAGAAAUAAAAUUUGUGAUUUUUCGAUAUCAUUUGCCUAGUGAUCGAAGGGGCUCAAAAUCAAUAAUUUUAAUGCCGUGGUGAGCCGGUUGCAAGUUUAACGGUGUAGAAAUAUCCAAAUCACGUGAAAUUUUGAUAGAAAAUUCUUUAUACCAUAUAAAACAAGAUCAAUAACUUUGAUCUAAAAUUUUAAUGUCAUAUCAUCAUAUUUUGUAAGAUUUUUAUUUUCAGCCGUUGAUUUUGAGCCACUUCGAUCACUAGGCAAAUGAUAUCGAAAAAUCGCAAAAUUUAUUUUCUAGAUACUUCAAAUACUCUAGAUCAAGUCUAACGGAGCCGAUCGUCGAUUCGAAAGUCCGAACAUCGAAAACAAAGUGGAAGCACGGAGCCCUCCGUGCUUCCAUAAGCAUCCUAGCCGCACUCAUAUAUAUAUAUAUAUAUAGAAUUGAGCUAGAAUACUUUUAGAAGCACCACGGUUUUUAGCCCUUGGAUCUACUCCUUGAUUACUACUAGCCCUUGGAUCUACUCCUUGAUUACUAAUAGUCCUUGAAUCAAACACUAUUCCACCUACCACUACCUACCAUAAGUAUUGGACAUAUAUACAAGGGAAUUUUUCUCUUUGAAUACUUAAUGCUCAAGCACGUUAUAAAAAUCCACAUCUUCGUUGCCAAUUCUUCAAAUUUGUAACUACUAGAUGCUGUAUAUUUAAUGGGCUUUAAGUUCUCAAAUAAGUUUGAAGAAAAAUAUUCUUUCAUAUAGUGAGGUACAUGUGUUUAUAGGAUAAUCUAUGAAGCACGGAUACUUCAAAUUUCAUGCCGUAUCCGUAUCGGAUACGUAUCGGAUACCGAUACGCGCCUGAUACGCGCCCGAUACGUGUCCGAUACGGGAAUGAAGUAUCUGGCAUUUUUAAAAAAUAAAAAAAUAUCGGAUACAGCUCGGAUACGUGAGGGAUACGGGGGGAUACGGGGGGGACACGGCCCGGUUCUUUUUUGGUCUAAAAUGAUUGAAACUUAAAAUUUUUUUAAAAGCUCACGUCCAAACCUAUUGGAAAGAAGGAAAAGAGUGAGAAAAACACCAAUAUCCGUUCAAUUUGUCAUUUCAUCUAUCUUUUUGUUCUUGAAUGGUAGAAGGCGCUCCCUCUUGUUCUAUCUUCACACAGUAUUUACUCUCUUCCAUCUAAUUUGUCAACCUAGUAUUAAGCAACAAAGGCUAUAGAAAAUAUGAUUUUUUUUUUCCUUCUCUAUUAAAUUGUUAGCAUAGUUUUUUAUUACUAUUUUAAUAAUAGAACUAACAAAUCAGACAUAUAUAUUGAAUGGCUAAUUAUCUAGUUUGUGCGACUAUAUAUUUAUUGUUAUCAUUUAAUCAAGUUGAAUGAUAGUUGGUUUGAUACUUUUUGAAUUAUUAUUUUAUAUGAUUGAUUAUCUUUUUUUAUGAACAUAUGUAGAAUAAUUAUACAAGUUAAUGCAUAUUAGAAUAUAUUCCUUAAUAUAGUCUAGAUAUUCUAAUUGUUCUCAAUAUAUCAUUACAUAUAAUCAACAUACAUUUAAAUAUAUUUAAAAUAAUAUUUUAUUUAAGUAUAUCCCGCGUAUCGUAUCCUAGAAGUUUUAGAAAUUGCCGUAUCACCGUAUCCGUAUCGUGUCAUAUCUGUAUCCCCGUAUCCUUAUCUGUGCAACAUAGAGGAUAAUGGUGUUGGCAAUCACGUACACCCCCUUGCACUCCUAUGGCCCCACCUAUGGAGAGAUGAAUAAUUGUUUCAGUUCUAGAUAUGAAACUUUUGAUUUUGCAUUGUAGACAUGACAAUUUACAUUAAGGGCCCGUUUAGUUCAUGGUUUGUAAUAUUCAGAUAAUUCUUCAUAUUUUCUAUUGAAAAUAUUUAAAUCAUUACCAUUCAACUCAAUUAAAAGGUAUUAGUGAAUUAGUGGAAUUGUUGUAGAUUUCUAUGUGGUAGGAAUACUAGAUUUUUACGGGUUAAGAGGUAUUCUCAUUUUCAUCUUUGAUAGGGAUCAAUAGUAGAUAGUCCUUAACAACCUCCCAACCCAAGUGGCAUGAUAAGUUUAGUAAUAAACUUGCCAUUCCAAAAUGUAAUACAACAUUCCUGUAAUAUUACAAACCUUGAACCAAACGGCCCCCCCAAGGGUUGUUUAAGUGUCAUGGGGGACCAACUGCAAGUCCCAUGGCCAACUGCAAGUUAUAAUUGAACCCUUAAUGAAUUAAAAGGGUGUUACUUAUUCUUCCAAUGAACUAGCUACUUAUUCUUCCAUGUUCUUCGACUUUCUAUAGGUAACUAAUCAUUUUCGAGAAAACUAAUUUCACGUGCUCAUGGCUGUAACUACUUUCCAUGUUUCUCAAAUAAAUUGCUUAAACAGGGAGUCUUUAACUGUACAAACGUUUUAAUGAGGAUCCACUAUCUUUUCUUGAUGUUUGAAUUUCCUUUCUUUUCCUUGUUAAUGUUGUUGUUUGAAUUUCCUUUCUUUUCUUUGUUAAUGUUAUUUCAUAUAUUGUUUGUUCUGGUCUGCUGAUAAAAUACUGUUUUAAUGCCUUCAUAUGUAGACAGAAAAGGUUGAUUUGGAGAACACCCUUGUUGAUGAGAGCCAAAGACUGUCAAAAGAGUAUGGAUCUGCUUCUAGAUCAAGGAAUGAGAAAUAUAGUGGUAUGACAAAUGGUUGAAUGGUUUGUCAUAUUCAACUGUUAUAAUAAUAUCUGAUACUACCCUACUUCAUUGUACCAUUAGCUGAAUUUCAUUUUAAAUGAUCAUAAUGAUUUAACUUUGCUACUUUUAAAGCUAAUUUAUCAUGAUCAUCCAUUUUAUUUUAUUUUUAUCUAGCUUUAUUAGAUGUUUUCUUAUUAUCACUGACUAGAUCUUUUAUUUGUUGUCGUUUCAUUUUAUUCAGCAUUCUGAUGCAUUUUCAGGUUGCAAUUUUACAGAUCAAUAGCAUUAACAUUAGCAUGACUUCUUGUUUUCAUUGUUUUGUUGCAGAAUUAUCUACUUGUUUCCAGCAAAAUCCAUUCGCAAGUAGUUAAACUAAGGUUGCAAUACUUUAGAACCAUAAUACUUGUCCAAUAAUCCUUGAUUAAACAGGUGUAAGACAUCUAUUCGGCCAACAAUCUAGCUUUUGCUAAUGUAAUGUUGUUUAGUAGCCAAAGCCUUAUAGAGUGGUGCUGGCAACAUAAGUCAGGAAACAAAAGUAAUUUGUAUACCUCAAGGAUCAUUUACAAAUGGUAUGUUGCAUAUUGCUUAGAGGCUGUGAGGUUUAUUGAAGUUUGAUUUCCUGGCGUCCUUUGUAGCCAGCAGAACUUUAUGAGACAUUUCUUGUUUGUAUGAGGUCCUUUUGUACCAUUCCUAAAUCUGGUGUCCAAUACAUCUUUUUAUUAGCACAUGGAAAUUUCCUUCCUGUGUAUCAUAGAGAUUUUAUGCUUCUCUGUUGCUAAUUACUAGUAUGAUAUUAUCAUAGUACUCACAUAUGAUCUUACCAAUCGAUAAUUUCUAAUUAAGUCUUUUUAUGGAAAUUUUGAACAAUAAGAUUCUUAAAUAUCGCUGUAUUGUCCUUCCUUUCGUUCUAUAUAUUUUUAACCGUGGAGGCGUGGACUUAAUUGUUUUAUUGACUUAUUUUGUUUUCCUCAUCUGAAGUUUCAAACAACUUUUCGAUUAAUUUCACUUUGUAAGUGUAAUUUGUAUCUUACAUAUUUCCUCUUCCACUAUUGACAUGUUGUCGGGGGACAAUUUCUUUCUUUCUUCUUAACUGUCGUCAUUUCUUUAUACUUGCUUCAUUAACUUAAAUGCUUGUAUCUUUCUCGGAAAUUCUAUAUUUUCUCUUUUAUCUUUUUGAUUUUUCAUUAACAGUGAGUUGAUAUAGGACUUUGACAAUGUGUAUAGCUAACUUGAAGUGCAAAGUAUGUAAGCCAAUGAGGUGGUAGAAACUGUAGCAACUAUCACUACAAAUGUCUAGCCAUGCUUAGUGACAGACAUGCUUUAUCUUAAAAUAAUGAUGAAUGCUCUUCACAUUAUUAGGUACACAUUUUAGAACUUUGUUCCCUUCGCACUAGGUUCACUCAAAAAGUAUGAUGCAUUUGAAAGUGUCUAUUUCCAUAUAUUUAAUGUUUAGAUGUAUUUUGCUCGAUUUCAAUAUAUUGUCUUAAUGUCAUCAAUCGAAAUUUACUGUCAUAUUUAUGUGCAACUAAUACUAACAGCUUUUUCGGAGAAGAAUAUUAGCAUAUUACACGUUUUUAAUUUCCAUGUUUACCAAAAAUCCUCCUAAUUGUUCAUACAUUUUUAUUCCGUAGGGAGAAUAGGCUGAUGAUCGUAAUGGAGGAAAAAUUAAAAGUUAGACGUAAAGGCAAAUGAUAAUAGAAAAUGACUUAAGGAGGGAGAAUAACUAACAGUUGAAAUUAUGAUGAAUUUUAUUCAGUUUCUACUAAUUAUUUGAUAUUUAGUAUACUUUCCAUUUUUCGUUAUCUUAUUUAAGCAUAAUUUUGUUCAGAAGGAAGUGCUAGCGAAUCUGAUGAUGAUAACGAAAGGCAUGAUGCUGCUGAAGAGGAGACUGAUGAUGAAGACAAUGCAUAUUUCGAUACAAGAGAUUUUCUCUCGUCAAGUUCUUUCAAAAGCAGUGGAUCCGAUUUUCAUAGAUCGGAAAAUGGUUCUGAUGAGGAAGAAUUUCAUCCUGAUGAUGGGAUUGAUCCCUCAAUGAAGUCAGUUGGGACUAGUUAUCCUUAUGUAAGAAGGCGUAAAAAGCUGCCAAAUCCGGUUGAGAAAGAGAAGGGAGUAAGUCUCUGGUCAAUGAUUAAGGAUAAUAUAGGAAAAGAUCUCACCAGAGUUUGUCUCCCUGUGUACUUCAACGAACCACUCUCAUCUUUACAAAAAUGUUUCGAAGAUCUUGAAUAUUCCUACCUUCUUGACCAUGCAUAUGAAUGGGGAAGAAAAGUAAGUUCUUGCACUACUUUCUAUCCUUUUCUUUCAGUAAAUAGUUUUGAAGGACAAAUCUAAAUAGUAUUUACUAUGGUAUUAUUUGAAGUCUUUUGUGUUAUGAAUUUCUACUUUUAUUUGAUUUUUACGUAUUCUAUUGUGUUGGCCUUAUGAUGAUAUCUUUUUUCCCCUUUCUUUUCAUUUUUAUGGAACAUGCCUUUUUCUCAUAGUUUGAAGUUAUAGAAUAUUUAGUAGCUAACAAAUGUGGAACCGUUAAAGGUGACUUAGGAUUAUUUAGUAUUUUUCAGACAAUAUUUUACAUUGUGAUGGCAAGUAUUGUAAAGCAACUGAACAAGGAUGGCACGUGCCGACCAAUCCUCUUGUUCCAACCCGUGUUGUAUUGUACCAACCCAGUAUUGUCACUUGGCAUGGGAGUGUAUUGACCAUUGCGACUGGAGGCUAGUGUCUAUGGUGCUGUAUAUUGCCUUUCUAUCAAGGUAUCGCAACCUGUAUCAUUACAAUGCUAGCUAUACUGCUUUAGUGUGGAUUUGGCUUUACCCCAAAAGGUGAAUUUUUUGGUUUCUCAACAGUAAAGGGGUUCAGAGCAAGCCUUAGCACCCAGUUGCAUCUUUCUUUAUUGCUUAUCCUUCUUCAAACAAUACAUUGUGGAGGAGCUUAUUCUAAAGAGAAAUAUGACUCCAUCCUUUUCUCCCUUUCUCUAAAGGACAGUUCCUUUAACACAUUCUUGAGGUAGUUUUGUUGUUUUGAACUUGUUCUUGUAGUUAUAGGGUAAUUUUAGACAGAGUGGAGUUGGGGCUUUUUCAAUCAUGGGAACCCUUGACCUUGUAUAUAUCUAAGCACUUUUGUGUUUCUUCAUGUUGGUCAAUCAACCAAGUUAUUGCAAAGUUUCCUUUCUUCUUUGUUUUUGCCUUUUCAUGCUUUGCUUUCUCAACAAAAAAAAAAAAAAAAAAUCAAAAAGCGAAAUGCUCUUUUUUCCUUGAUAAAUCAGUAGAUUUUGUAGUUCUGUGAAUAUUUGGAACCAAUAGUAAUCCAUUAAUGGUUUAAAUUUUAGUGGAAAAUACAAAUUGCAAGAUUUUCAGAUUCUCAUAAUAAAAAUUUAAAUUUGGGUUGCUUAUAUUAGGUUUAGAAAGAACCAGGGAUUAAGCAGGAACAGAGAUGAAAAGCUCUUAACUUUGGACCUUCCUAUGCUGACCAAUUAACGAGCCUGCUCUAACCUGCUCAAGACACAUAUUAGUUACCUUUGCAGUAUUUUCUUCACCAAAUUUAGCCGACUUUGGAGAGCAGGAAAUCAACAUGAAGAAGGCUAUCUAAAGAGGAGCGUGAUCCUUUUUUUCGCUAAUAAUUCGCUAAUGUAGUCCAAAAUUGAAUUAUGUUUUUUGCCUUUUUUGUAUCUUUGUGUACUGUUUGGUUCCCAAUGUUGUGGAAGUUGAUCAAUCCCUUUGUAAGUUUUGUUGGAUUUUUUAUUGGGUUUUGUAGAUUAUCCUAGAUUCACCCUCAUUGUUAAGUUGGCUUUUAGUUGGAUUGUUAUCUUUCAAUGAUAGACAAGGAUUUAAAUCUUUGCUAGAUCUCUUUUUAUGAUUUUUGGAAGAGAAAUGUAUAAAUUUUGUUUUAAAUCUUUCAGUGAUGGACCAAGGAUUUAGUUGGAUCGUUUUAAUCUUUUUGAUUUUAAAUUACUGUGCUGUCUCUUUGGGAUUGGGAUAAAAUUUUACAUUCAUUUGGCAGUUUAUUUACUAUCAUUCAUGACCAAGAAUAUAGUUUUGAUUUCAUUUAUAAUUGACUAAUAUGAAUUAAUAGUGGAAUACUGUAGAAUGCCUUUUUGUCGGUAUCUUGUCUGCUAGUACAUCUUGUUGAUUCAAUAUUUCCUUUGAAAGUCUUAAUCUUGUUAAACCAUCAUAUUCAUGCGAUUAUGUACAAGUCAGCUUUCCACCUAAUGGUUUAUAAUCCUAAAAUGUUUUAUCAUUUUUUAGGGAAAUAAUCUUAUGCGGAUCCUUUGUGUUGCUGCAUUUGCUGUUUCUGGAUAUGCAUCAACUGAUGGCAGAAGCUGCAAGCCUUUCAAUCCACUUCUUGGGGAGACAUAUGAAGCAGAUUAUCCGGACAAAGGCCUUCGCUUUUUCUCAGAAAAGGUUCGGAUUUUAUAGCGGUUCUGAUGUUUUUGCAUUAUCAUUUUAUUUAUUUCAUUUGCUAGUAUCAUAAACUUCUAUUUGCUUUUCUUGAUUUUAAAGAUUUGCUUCAUUGGUAGUUCUCAAGUGCAUCAUGACAUUUACUCUGUUACACCUGUGCUAUUCAUUUCUAUGUGCUCAUGAUUUUUUGCCGUCUUUAACAAAAUUUCGAACUUACAUAUCUUAAACCAUGCACGUAAAGUUUUGAGUUCUUUAAUUCUAAUCUAUUUCUAUUACAUUAAAGGAGAGUUGGGGGAACCUCAUGGUGACACGUGUCCCCCAACUCUCCACUUCUAUAUAUACUAGUGUAGUGACCCCGCACGAUGCGGUGGGCAAAUAUUGUUGUAGCAAAAUUUUUUCUUUGUCAAGACUUGAAGACAUAUAAUGAUUUUAAAAAAAAAUAUAAAGAAGGCCUCAUAAGUUUGCGAAAAAAAGGCCACACAUUCUAGCAGUGCACAAAUCCCUAAAUAGAGAGGGCUUAAAGUAAUUUAAUCAGCUUACAUACAAUAGGCAAAAGAAGGAAGAAGCACUUGAAGUUAAAUUAGACAAAAGCAAUUGUAAUUCAGCAGCUUUAAACAACAAAAGUCUGGCAUACUUGAAAAACUUCAAAAUAUAAAAUAUAAUGAACUCACAUAAGAUUUAGGAGUAAAUAGUAGAAAUAGUAGUAUGACAUUUUUUUCUCAUUCCUAAUGAAUGAAGCGAGCAGCGAGCUACCUAUUUCUCAAAAAAAAAACAUUUUUUUUUCAUUCCUCGUAACAUAUAAGCUAUCACCACAAUAAUAAAAGUAGCAACUAUUUUAAGUAUAAAAUAUGGUAUACAGUUAAAGGCGAAAUAGCAAAUACAUAAAAAAAAUAAAAAAUUUUGAGUAACAAACAAAUAAAUUGUAGAAGCCGAGGAAAGAGUGUAAGAGUUGGCUGAAAGAAAAGGCAAUAGUCAGUAAAAAAUUAAAGAAAGAAUAAAAUAUGACUAAUAGAAAAAGUUGGUUAAGAAAUGUUACUAACCUGCUUGUCCCAAAAAUAUGCGAUUGUAGUAAUACAAAAAUCAAGUGAAGCAGCAACUUACAAAAUUCAUUAGAAUAUAUAUGUCACGCCCCGAAACCGCUACCACUUUGGCCGGUUUGGGCGCGUCGGACAGACGCCGAACGGACAGCACCUCUCCUGUCCGCCCACGGCUAAACAACGAGAUUGUGUACACAAGUGCCCAGGAAAACAACUUGAUUACAUACACAAUCAGACAACAACAGCGAGAGCACAACCAGUGCUAAUUAACUAAAGAGCAAGCAUCACAAGUAAUAAAUAUGUGAAUAAAAGAGAGAUACUAAUCUAUUACAUCCAUUCAACUUUAAUACAUUUGAUUAUUUUACAUUCUUCCAAAAUACAACAUAAACUUAAAGUUUACAAUUUCCCAAAAUAUCUCACACCUAUACAUCAUCUACUCUCAAGUAUGUACAAGAUAACUCUAAUGCAAAGGGUAAGAAAGCUACUACUACAACCUCUAGUGCGCUAAGCCCUUACCGCGAUCAACUGCCGGUCCGCUCUUGUGUGUACCUGUACCCCAAAACCACACGUGGUGAGAACUAUAUAAAUAUAGUUCCCAGUGAGUUCGGCCGCCGACUCCGCCGAUCUUCCCACUAGGUCUAAGCUGGCACAGAUAGAUAGAUAGAUAGAUAGAUAGAUAUUGAACUGCAACUAAGAUCUACUAUGCCAUCAAUAGUCAAAUGUAUGAACUACAACAUAAUAUGCAAUCUACCACAUGAUACUAUGUCAAGAAGUCACACACGUCUACUCAGUCACAGGGGAGGAUCCGCUCACUCGCUCGACUCACAACACACACACACACUCUCUACGGGGAGGAUCCGCUCACUCGCUCGACUCACAACACACACACACUCUCUACGGGGAGGAUCCGCUCACUCGCCCGACUCACAAUCUAGUCACAACGGAGAGGAUCCGCUCACUCAGCAGACUCACAACACACACACACUCUCUACGGGGAGGAUCCGCUCACUCGCCCGACUCAACACAGGUACCACAACCCAAUCUCUAUCUAACAGGUGAGGAUCAGCUCACUCACCCUACUCACCUGGGAAGGAUCAGCUCACUCUCCCAAGACCGUCUGUGGGACCCAUAAAGGCUAUCCCUCGGGACCCAGAAAGGCUAUCCCUAUCAUGUGACAACUCCGGAGUGCACUGCUUGUGUGGAGCGAUCACACCAAGCUUCGAACAGACAUAUGAGUAUGAUCAAAUCCCCGUCACCGAGGAUACCCUACCACUCUAGACAACAUCACUUGGGAACUAGCUCAUCCCUAGGUUCCACCUACGACAAGUAUUUUCUCUAUACUUUACUUAUCAUGCCACUCGUCAAGUUUAACAUUAACUAGAUGCCACUCGUUCUCAAUACUCUAAUUGUACACAAUGACUAGGUGUUCUUUCAACUAGAGUCUAUCUACAUUAAUCUUGUCAUUAUAGGGUUUCACUACACUAUGUCCCAAUCACAUGCAUACUAGGUACAAGUAUCUAAGCCAACAACACUAUAUUACACUAGCACGCAAGAAUAUGUAAUAACACUAAUCGAGCACCCUAUAAUGCAUCAUGCUUAAUAUGCAUAAUUGAUCAACAUAGAGAUACUUAGACGUAAGGAGAAGCCCAGUUGCUUCGGGAUGACACCCCCCACCUUUUAUCGCUACCACGAGGCUAGGGUUCCGUUUUUGUGAUUUUAGGAAGCCGCGCCGCGAACUACGGCAAUCUGAACCAAAAAAAGCUUUUCCUUCAAUAUCUUCGCAACCGCUCAACGAAUUGACGAACCGUCUUCGCCAACGCGUCAGAAUCAUUCAAUUUAGAUCAAAACCCUAGAUUUCCCAAAACCGCCAUUUUGAGCCCUAGGUAUUCACUAUGCAAAAAUCCAUCAUGUAGCCUCUAGAUUCAAGCAUCAAUCAACUCCCUAGCAUGCUAGGGUUCACCCAAAUCCAAUUCUAGAGCUUAAAACCCAUCUCUAAGGAUCUACCAUUAGAGGGUAUAAAGCUUACCUCAAACAAGCUCCAAUGGCCAAGGGAAGAAGAUGAAGUUCUUCUUUCUUCGCUUCUUCUCCACCAAUCCCUCAUCUCCUUUCCUUCCUUGAUGAGAGAGAGAGCUUCUAGAGAGAGAGAGAGGUGUCUUAGUGUCACGCCCCGCGACCCCGCCUAUUUGGCCGAGUUCGAGCGCGUCGACAAACCGCCGAACGGACAGAGUUUCCCCUGUACGUCCUAGGCGUCGCAAUCAAUACAAUGAACAUUACAAGGGUUCCAACCAGGAACAGAUAUCAAUCAUGAUUGCAUAAGGAAAGUAUCACAACAUAACACAUCCUAUGUUAUUACAUGCAUUCACAAUAAUACAUUUACUUUACAUCCAACUCCCAAAUGCAAUUAAGUUAUUACAUCAUUUGCUUAUUACAAAUUGAUACACUGUAUUCUUUUCAUUUCCCAAACCCUUAGGCUAUGUCGAUGGGGUAUUGCUAUCUCUGGUCUCUGGGUAGGGCGCUAUCUAUGGAGCUACGCCUUUUCCUCGCGCCGCCGCGCCGCUCACGUGCGAACCUGAAACACCCCAAAACAACGUGGGGUGAGAACCAACUCCAUGGUUCCCAGUGGGUACGGCCACCCAAGGGAGGAGCUCGACCAAUAGGUCCAAGGAGGCAACUGCAGGUUAGUUUAAUAAACAGAUAGAUAGAUAUUUGACUAUGCAAUUAAUAAAACCAUACCUUGCCUCGCAAAUGCAAUAUGAACAUUAUGCAACUAUGCAACUGCAUAAACAACUAGUAGAUAUGUUAAUUCUACAUUUACUUUGCUACUUUAGGUCAUUUCAUUCAAUUGUAAGGUUUCCAUUACCUUAUGUUCUCAACUCAAGUUCAACUUGCUUCUAAGGUCUCUAUUACCUCAGGUUCUUGCCUCGAUCACUAGCUUAUAAGGUUCCCAUUAACCUAAUCAAGCUAACCACCCGACUCGGCCUCGAGUCAAUCAUCCGCGGAUAGUCCGCGCACUGGCUGCACCUCAGCCUGGCUGCCGUCGCAGCCUACCGCAGAUCUGACUUAACCAUCUGGCGGCGAACUCAUCGCUCUCACCCAACAACAACUCAAGUCAUGACUUAGCCAUCUGGCGGCGAACUCAUCGCACCUCACCCAACAAUGGUUCAAGUCAUAACUUAGUCAUCUGGCAGCGACCACAUCGCUCUCACCCAACAAUGGUUCAAGUCAACCUAGGCGGCAUCAUCCGAUAAGCUAAUGGGCGAGGAGAACCACACAUACCCAAUUCCAGCUUAUUCUCAUGGCAUCCCGGGCGAGGAGAACCACACAUACCCGUUGAAUCACUGCCAGGCGAGGAGAACCACACAUACCUGCAGUUAUGAUUCGCUUGCCAUCUCUUUUACCACAAUUUCCACCGCUCCAUGUGCGGCCACAUCACUAGGGAUUCCGGAAUCCAUUUCAUAACUCAAGGGUUGGUUUCAAACCCUAUAGCAUUGACCUAUCUAGGUCCAACGUCCUUUUCACCCUAGGUCCAACUGACUCUAGGUUCAACGUCUCUAUCACAUAACCUAGGUUUACUUAACUCUAGGUUCAAUCCAUAACCUAUGUCCUUUAACACUAGGUUAGAUGCCACUCAUGAUUCAUCCUAGGUUCAACAACACUAGGUUCAUUGUCAUUCAUGUCCAACCUAUGUUUUAUACACUAGGUUAGAUGCCACUCGAUCUAGUUCACAUGACUCUAGAUUCAUUCACAACCUAUGUUCUUUAACACUAGGUUAGGUGCCACUCGAUCUAUUUGACAUCCUAUUGUCAUCUCGAGUCUACAUGUACACGAAUCUUAUCCAACAUGCUCAUUAUACACAUAUGUAUUAAUAUGCAUUCACUUACUAGCAUGGUUUCUUAUCAUAUUAACAUGCACAUUACAUUUAGCAUUUCUAGACUAUGUCAUCAACAUGCAUUUCAUUCUAUGCAUUAUAUUUACAUGCAUCCUUCUAGUUUACAUGCAUAUAUAUAAUCUUUUAUAUGCAUCUACUUUAGCAUUUACAUCAUAUCAUGCAUUACUAGCAUUACAUUAUUAUCAUGCAUUACUAGCAUUAUGUAACUUGCUCACUAUGCAUUUCUACUUAGCAUUCACAUUAACAUGCAUUGUUUAACACUUAUAUGCAUCAACACGAAUUCUUAAUAUUCUUAGACAUAAGGGCGACCUAGUCGCUUCGGUAAGCACAACCCACCUUAACUUACUCUCCGAUUGCUUGUAGUCACUUGCAAUCGGCCGCCCGCGACACCCGCGACCCGGUUUGGCUCGAACUCUCGCGCGACCACCCAAACGAUCUCCGAUUUGCGAUCCGGAAAUUAAAGGUCUUCGGUUAUGUGCCACGGUGCUUCAAAUCCGUUUUCAUGAUUUUACGACAUCGCCUCGGCCCUCCAGGCGGAAACGAAGCCUAAACGUCCGUUUCUUUAAUAACUUUGUAACGGCUCGUCGGAUUGCCGAUCCGUCUUCGCCAACGCGUUUCGUUACCUAGCAAUUAGGUUUAUAUAUGUUCAAUUUAGAUCAAACCCAUCUAUUAGCAAAAAUUGUAUUUUGGAGCCCUAGGUUGCAACUAUGCAAGAAAUCAUCAAAUCCCUUCACGAAUUAAGCAUCAAUCAUCUAGAUAGCAUGCUAGGAUUCCUCUAAAUCCAUUUCUAAGCUAUUUAAACCAACCAUUAAGGAUCUACCAUUAAAGGGUAGCAAAAGCUUACCUCAAAAUUAGCUCCAAAUCAUGGAGAAGAUGAAGAAGACGAAGGCGAUCCACCUCCAAGCUUCAAUCUCCACCAAAUCCAUCCAUUUUGGGAGAGAUUUAGAGAGAGAAAUGGAAGUUCUCUCUCUCCCUUCCAUGCAUGCGUGUGUGUGUGUGUGUCGCAUGCGGUUUGGGGCUGCUGCGGCUGAGGAAGGAGAAGAAGAAAAGGGAUUAAAUCCCUUUUUACCAUUUUGCCCCUCAACUAUACACUAUUCACUACGGGCAGCUUGAAAUCUGAUAAAUUUCGUUGGAGCCCUUCCGGAUGUCCGUUUUCGCUCAAAUUUGACAGGCAUGUUCGGUUUCACUUAAUAAGUCCAAAGAAAUUUUAAUAUUUCAGUUUCGACCCCGUUUGGUCACUGAAAACUGUACCGAACUGCAAUCUUUAUCAGAUAGCUUUCGGAUUCGAUUUCUCUCUCUACGGGUGUCAGAAAAAUAUGAAACUUUAAAUCUAGCCUCAUAAAAAUAUUUCUGACAUCUCCGCCAAUUUUCAUAAUUUUCUGACACUGUGCAUUUUCUGCUAAUUUAUCUGCCCCGUUUCUUACAGAAAAUUCUAAAUCUUCUGUUUUCGCUCCGAUUUCAGCACAGGUCAUUCCCAACUUGUAUUUCAGUUAUCUAAAUCCAAUAAAAAUAGUAUCUCAUACUAUUUUAUUUAUUUUCACUUUUAUAUUUAAAAUCCGGUAUGUUACGUUGCACCGCAACCUCACCGGAACCAUUUAAAUAUACACCGUAACUUCAUAGUUUUAGAAGUCUGGUACCUUACACUUAGGAUGAGAGGGUGGAGGAAAAUGAGAGAAAACAAGCCCUAGACCCCUCUUGUAGGUCCAACUAAUACAAUUUUGCCAAAAACCCCUCCAACAAUGCAUUUAGUGCAUUGCCCCUCGCGGGGCACUUUUUUUGUAUAGGGAACCGGUCCUUGGACUUGAGGGUCCGGUCCCCGUAGGUCCAGAAUUCCAGCAUUUUAGGACUUAGCCAAAUUUUCAGCUUUUUCACCGUUUCUUCUCCGUUUUCGCUCGUUUUCGCUCGUUUGACCUCCGAUUCUUUUCAAAUCGAACCGAGACUCUCCAAACAUGUUUUCGAGCGUGUUUUCAUCAUCUCUAUCCCCGCUAAUGCCGGAUUUAGUUCACGGCCCAACAUAGCUUUUCGGGUUCCAUUUUCGUGCCUACGCGCACCGAAACGCCCGAAUGCUUCCAAAUCUCACCGAACUUCACCGGAACCAUUCAAAUGGCUUCCCAACCAAGUGUACACCGUAACUUCAUAAUUUUUGAAGUUCGGUACCUUACAAUAUAAGUUGCAGAACUUAUAGUCAAAUAAUUUUAAACAGGAAUAGUAAGAAAACACCAUCACAACAAUAAAAAAAAUAAUAUACAGAACACACUGGUUGCAAUUAUUCGCAAUUUCCAUCCUAGUUAAUUUACUUUGUAAAAUAUCAGUUAAGCCAAUAGAUAAGUUAAGCUGGCAGAUAGGGUAGACACAAAUCCCAUACAAAUACACAAUUAAGCAAGAUAGUUAAACGUAUUUUGUACAAAAGUCCGAAUAUAAGGAAAGGAAAUAGAAUUUAAUUAGAAAGUAUACCUGCCUAAAUUAAGGAAAUACCUCCAUGUUGACUAAUGAAAACCUGAUUUUGUCAGAAAUUAUAUGUAAAUAAAUGAAAGGUAAUGAAAAGUAUUUGGUAUACAAAAGAAAGAAUAAAUAAAUUAGAACUAAUAGUAAAUUUGCAAUGUCUUUUUCCAAUCCACAUAUGCAGUAGAUGAAACAAUAGUAGCAAAAGAUCAAGUGAAGCAGCAACUUCGAAAAUUGAUUAUAGAAGUAAAAAAAACAUCAUCACAAUAAUCGAAAAGAUAUAAAGUGAAAUAAAAUGAAGAAGCAGCACCUAAGGUUAAAUAGAAGCUAGAGAAAUAUCAGCAAGAACUUGUAGUAAGAAACGAUAUAGAAAAGAAAGGGGAAAAAAAAUGCAAACCUAAACUAAUGGUAAAAUAUACAUCAUUAGGAGUAUAAGCAGUAGUAGUAGAAAUUUGAGCAAAUCGAAAAAGAUAAACAGGUAGUAAAAUUCAAUUUUUACUAUAGGCUCAGACAUGUAAUGAGUAUUAUCAAUAGUCAACAAUAGUAUUUUUCUCAUUUCAGAAGUCAUCGAGAAAAGGUGCCGCGUAUAGUUAUAUGUUCUCAAUAGCUUAUAUAUUUCUUGCUGGGGGUAAUUACUGGUUGCAUUUAUUUAGUAACUGCCAUCCUAGUUGAUACCCAAUCGACAGAGAAAUAGAGUUUUUUUUUGCCGCAAAUAAAAUUUUUACAGAGGCAUAUUAUAAAGGCAGCAAGAAGGGACCGCGGAGAAUGAAUUCGAACCAUUUUCGUAACCAGAGGGGAUGAAUAAGCCGAAAUAAAGCGUCGCUAAUGGGAAGGGUGUGACUGGAAGAAGGGCGCCGACCAUGAAACUCAGCCCAACAUUUCGUCCAGAGAGGGAACAGGAAUCGGAGCGGCAUCUUGGGGGGUGAAUGAAACGAAGCGUCGCUAACGGAAACGGGCGCGACGGGAAAAAGGACUGAUCAUUCUGUCCAGAAAGCGAUCAGGAGUUGGAGCGGGCAUCUAGAGGAGCGAGCGAAGGAGCCGGAGGUGGAAGACGAAGUUAAUUAGAAGCAGGGAAAAUUAAAUGGAAAGCAGAGUAGGGAGGAAAAGAAAUUUGGUUGGGUGGGCCCCACGCACUAAUUAAUUAAUAGAGUAUCUUAAGAUGACAGGUAGGGCCCACAAAAAGAUUAAAUUAAGCUAAUGUUGCCACGUGGACAAAGAGAAUGGGCUUUCAUAAGGGGUAUAGAUUAUUAGCAAGCAGCAAUAAUAUUUUUCUCAUGUUAAAAGUCUUUGAGAAAAAACGUCCUGUAAGACAGGUAGGUCACACAAAAAUAACUGGUUGCAAUUAUUUUGUAAUUGCCAUCCUAGUUAAUUUACUGUGUAAAAUCUUCAUUGACAUUCAACCGUAAUUUUAUUUCAUUUUGUCAUAAUCGCCAAAUAUAUAAGCAAUUACAAAUAUAAACUAUCUCAAUCUUUGCUUCAUCACUUGUCAAACGAAAUCCUUGGUUGCAACGGUUGCAUAACUGCCAUCCAAGUUGCCUUACCAUGUAUAUACUCUUUUCAUAUUAAUCAUCAGAUUAUUCAUUUUGUCAUCAUCGCCAAUGCCAACAAAUAAAAAACUUAAUAUUACGUUCGUAGAAUUUAUUAGAAAGUAUCUGAAAUCAUCAAGUAUUAAAAAAUAAUAAAGCAACAACAAAGUAAAAAGUGAACUGCCUCAAGAUUGAUAAGAGGAACUGGUUAAAUGGAAAUACACAAUAUAUAUAUAUAUAUAUAUAUAUAUAUAUAUAUAUAUAUAUAUAUAUAUAUAUAUAUAUAUAUAACAUCUUUGUUGGUCAGAAGCUACCAACAUUAAUUUAAAAUAUACUAUGCGGUAGGAAAAUUGUAGUAAAAAAAAUAAGAAAAUAAAAACAUUGAAAACAUCAUCAAACCCUUUCUUGGAACUGAAGGAAAUCAAAGGAAAUAGUCAGUCAAGAAAUCCAAUUAUGGCCCACUUAGGUAUUGCGUUUCCAAAGACAUCCAAUUUUUUUUUUUUUUAAAAAAAAACUGAAACUGCUUAUAAUCUUCCCUCCCCCAAUGCAAUUUACAGUGGCACCGCCGCCAGAGAAGCAUGUAAUCACAUGCUUCAUGUUCCAGUAAAAAAAAAGAAGAUUUCUUUAUGUUUAAAAGCUUUAGAAGAUUUAUAUACAAUAGAAGCGACCAAAUUGGCUGUGUGAUAAGUAACUCCGAUUAAGAAGAGGGACCUUUUCGUCUAACAGCCAAAAAUGAAAGUUCAGGCACCAGUUUGCAAAAGUGCUAAGGUUCAGGGUUUGCACUUAUUUUCCAAUGUUCUGCAAUCUGAAGAGAGAGGAAUGAGUUACGAAUCUAGUAAUGGACAUUUCGAAGGGCACUGAGGAGUCUUACAUGACUUUGGUAUAGCAAUUAGCAAUAGUUACUUCUCUGAGUUCUAAUUCAGUUCUCAAUGUAGAAAUCAAUCAAUCAAAAUAGUAAUUACUCUCUUUGCAGAUGCUUGUUCAUGGUAAGUGCUUCCUACAGUGAGAGGCGGGACACCAAUAUGAUCAUUAAAUUUCUGCUAAUUAUCACACUAAACAUGAAGAAAAACUCUGCCAACAUACCUCUUUGUCCUUCUAGCAAAAACAAUUAUGAAGAAUUGAAGAGUUAAUUUCCAUUAAUAUUGAAGAAUCGUAAAGCAUGACUAAACGGAUGGAGAGUAGAAAAAGGACUAAAACUAAAGAUUUUAUCCAAAUAUUAACCCUUCCUCUUAUAAAUCCCAUUUUUCAAUAGUGCUCUCUCUUUAAAAAACAAAUCUUUCAUAAUUGAGCCAAAAAAAUUGCUUAAAACUGAUAUAAAAAAAACUACCAAAUCCUUUUGUAUUGAAAUUAAGAAUUUCACAAAAAUGUGCAUUGAGAUCAAAACCGAUCUCCAUCACCAGAAUUAGCAAAGGAAGGUUUUAGCUUCGACCGAUAGAUUGAUUGGUUGAAAAUUUGUUUGAACUGAAGUAAUGAUAGACUAAUACGAAAAUUUGGUCUUAAUUGAAUGUAUAAUCAGCUUAAAAAGUCAGAUUACUAUGACAACUUGAACACAAUUCAACUUUGACAUCAUCACAUUGGCACCAACCAAUAAAAUUGCAUUGAUACAUAGAUAAAUCAAAAAACUCCUACUAUAUAUAUAUAGCAUGUGGUCUAGGGCCAAUGAUAAAUCAAAAAAUUACCACUUCACAGCAUAAAAAGUUUAGCUUUAGCAAACUGUGGAUGAACAGGAAUAACAGAAAUAUAGCCGAAUUAGCAAAGGAAGGUUUUAGCUUCGACCGAUAGAUUGAUUGGUUGCAAAUUUGUUUGAACUUAAGUAACGAUAGACUAAUACGAUAAUUUGGUCUGAAUUGAAUGUAUAAUCAGCUUUAAAAGUCAGAUUCUAUGACAACUUGAACAGAAUCCAACUUUGACAUCAUCAGAUUGGCACCAACCAAUAAAAUUGCAUUGAUACAUAGAUAAAUCAAAAAGUUCCUACUAAAAAAACCAACAAAUCUACGCAAGUAUCAAACUUUGAUAUUCUAAAAGAGACUAAUACAUAUAUACAAUCUAUUUUGCAAACAAAUCAUAUAUGAAAGUAUUAUUAUUAUUAGCGGCAUAACAAAUCAUAUAUGAAAGCAUUAUGAUUAGCAGCAUUAAGAUGUAAAAAAAAAGAUAAGUGUUGUGACCUCUUCAACAUAUAUGAAAGCAUUAUGAUUAGCAGCAUUAAGAUGUAAAAAAAAAGAUGAGUGUUGCGACCUCUUCAACUAUAGGCCAUUUUUAUAUUUGUGAGGAGCAUCAAAAAAGGGAUCUUUUUUCACCUCCAAAACAUUCGGCUUCGUUAUAAAGAGGAACCACGAUCGUGACGACGCAAUCGGCGAGCAUGGUGAUGACGAACCAGGCGCUCGCGAGCAUGAAGGCGUAGGGGUUAAUCAACAAAUAUUAGAAAUAAUACGUAAUUAUAUCAAAAUUGGUGAUGAAACAAAUUCGCAAACUUGCAUAAUUGGCUAGAAAAUUUAAAAACGAAACUCUUAAGGGUGAUGAGAGAAACUAAAAUGGUAAAUUAUUAAAUAGGGAUAAAUACAAUCCAAAGACACAAAAACUUGCUGAAAGUUGCAAAACCAAUAGAAGUUGGGUUCAUUGCAAGAAUGUUGAGCAAAGUAACAUGUUUGUAGAGUUAUUCAUGACCAAAAUAAAUCAAAUGGGAUUAGUACUUGUCGGGCUAAUCGAAGUGACUGGAAGGCAAAUGUGCCUAUCUAGGACGUAGUUGCUAGCUAUGCUAUGCUUGCCGACCAUUUAAAUGCUCGUCACCUCUGUGCAUGCAUGCAUGCUGGUUCUCUAGAUCAAAUUUUUUUCUACUUAAGUUGUUAGGUUAAUGGAAAGUGACUUUCAUUGCAAUUUCAAACUUGUCAGACACUCACAUGAGAAGAAAUUGCAUCAAGCCAUUGUUCACUGUCAACUAUUUUGAUCACCCACCACCACCCACCCUAUGAAACAAAAUUUAGUAGGAUCCGUUCUGUAGUACAACAGAGGGAGAUAUAAACCAUCAGUUAUCAUUCUAUCCACAUUUUAAAUUAAAAACAGGAUUGAAUGCUAUUUGAUGGCUUAUAUACCUUCACCUGCUCUGGUAGCCAUCAACGAUUGUUUAUCCUGAAAAUAUUUGGCACAUCAUUGUAUUUAUUUUUAAUAUGACAUUUAUUGCUAGCUAUUUCUUAAUUUUUAAGGAAAACUAAACUCCGGAAAAAGUCUAAUCAUAAAACUAACAAAUUGCACUAUAAAAUGUUAUAUACCUAGGACUUAAGAACCCUCAACAUGGCGUAGCCACUCCUGGAAACAAGGACUUCAUAGCAACCAAGAUUAAAUAGAUAACAAAUACGAUACAAAAUGAAACGAAAAUAAAACCAAAAUCACCAAUCGAAGCAAAGCAGUUCUUUAAAAAUACCUAGUAAUAACAAAAAUUUUAAAAAAAAGGAAAAGAGAGGGGGUUUGGGGGAGUGUUUACCUGAUGAUCACACGAUGCCUAAGUACUAGGGUGUUAGAGUGGCAGCGGUAGCGGCAACCAUCAUGAUCGCGGCCAAGACCUUAGGGUUUCAAAGUGUUUAGCUUGCAUACACAGAAUACCAGAGCCACUGAGUGCUGUGGCCAAUAGAGAUCCAAACUAAAAUUGUAAAUUAUUAAACAGGGAUAAAUACAUGGAGGGAAUUGACAUAUGCACAUAUUAGGUAGUUGAAACCAAGGUAAAUGAUGCAAGGCUACACAAAAUCAACAAAAAAAAUGAAGGCGUUAUUUAAUAGGCAGAAAAGAGAAAUGAUACCUUGCAUACACAGAAUACCAGAGCCACUGAAUAGCAAAAGAGGAACAUCAAAAGAGGGAGCCUUUUUCCUUUUCUUACCUCGGAACCGCUCGGCCUCUUGAUUGUAAUCGAGAAGCUUCUGCUUGAUUCGCUUCCCGGAGGUGAAAUCAAAGGCCGUGGAGGUGAAAUCGAAGGCCGCGGAGGGCUCGCUACCAAAUCAGAGAUGGAAAAAAUCAGAAAGAGAGAAAUAGGGUUUUUUUUUUUUUGCAAAUAAAAUUUUUACAGAGGCAUAUUAUAUAGGCAGCAAGAAGGGACCACGGAGGAUGAAUCCGAGCCAUUUUUGUGACCGGAGGGAAUGAAUAAGCCGAAACGAAGCGCCGCUAACAGGAACGGCGCGACAAGAAGAAGGGACGACCAUGAACUCGGCCCAACAUUCCAUCCAGAGAGGGAAUAGGAGUCGGAGCGGCAUCUAGGGGGUGAACGAAAUGAAGCGUCGCCAAAGGGAACGGGUGCGACGGCAAGAAGUUCGGCCAUGAACUCAGCCCAACAGUCCGUCCAAAGAGGGAACAGGAGUCGGAGCGGCACCUAGAGGAGCGAGCGAAGGAGCCGGAGGUGGAAGACGAAAUUAAUUAGAAGCAGGGAAGAUUAAAUGGGAAAAUUUAGUUGGGUGGGCCCCACCCACUAAUUAAAUAACAGAGUGCCUUAAGAUGACAGGUAGGGCCCACAGAAGAUUAGAUUAAGCUAAUGUCGCCACGUGGACAAAAGGAAACGGGGAUUCAUAAGAGUUUAUAUAUAUAUAUAUAUAUAUAUAUAUAUAUAUAUAUAUAUAUAUAUAUAUANUAAGUAACUUUUUUGGACUUCAACCGACCUAGCAGGUUUGAAACUAGGUUGCCGGAUUUUCUGAGUCACUACUAGUUCCUUGAGCUGAGGGGAGUGAUCUCGAGUUGGUGGAAUUCUUGUCUUGGUAGGAUUAGCUAUCGAGGUGGGUUCCAAGUCGCCGAAAACAGCGAAUUUCCUUCUAUGUCUAAAUUGAUAUAUAUAUAUAGAAUUGAGCUCCUAUGCUUUUAAAAGUACCAAGUCAUUGGUGCUUGUAAGUUUUCGGCCAUUGGAUUAAGGGAUGUGCGGUUAUGAUGAUGUGGGCCCCUUAGGGUUGAGUGGGUGGUUGGUUGAAUAGCAUGGUUUUAAGUGCCCAUCGGUACGGGCCGUAUCCACCGUGCCGUACCGUGCCAACAAGAUACCGGCACGAUACAGACCCCGUGCCGAUGACACAGCUCAAAACCCUCUACUCUUUAAAUUAGUAAGUAAUUUUCUCAAUAAAGUUCAAAAGAUGUGAUAAAAAGAUAUAAUAAAUAGUUAGAAUAUUUUGUUGCUAAAGAAAAUAAAUAUUUCAUGCUAUUAUGUGUCGGCACACAAGAGUUUUUUUGAUCGGCAUGCAUUGGCACUGCUUGGCACGCACUAUGCGGUACUGUGCCGGUAGGUUUCUGCUACGGCACUUAAAUCCUUGUUGAAUAGUAUGAUCUAACGGGUGAAAAUGAUCAAAGGCGUAGAUCUAACGGUAAAAAAUUUACAAGCACCAAGUGCUUGGUGCUUUUACAAGCACCAUAGCCGGACUCUCUCUCUCUCUCUCUCUCUCUCUCUCUCUCUCUCUUUCUCGCUAUAUAUAUAUAUAUAUAUAUAAAUAAAAUUAUAUAUGUAAUUAAUUAAUUUUAUUAAUAAAUUGCUUAAUAAAUUAUAUAAAUCGCGUGAUAAGAUCUAAUCCGAUAUAUGUGAUCUAAAUCAUGUAAAAUGACGAUAUACAAAAAAAAAUACAAAAUUUAAAUUUUUAUAAUAAAAUUUUAGAAAUGUGAUGUAUAGUAUUUACCAUACACCCAAUGCAUGAAAAAUAUUUUUCUCACCGUCGUAUCUUACAUUUCUCAACUAUGAAAAAUUAUUGCCUGCACUUGGUAUAUUAGUACAUUGCGCGCACCGAAUUUUCUUUUUAAUAUCAAUAUUAUAAAAUUAAAAUAUAAUCUAAUAUAUGUGAUCUACACCAUAUAAAAACUCUAUGUAUAAAAAAUUACAAAGUUUAGAUUUUUAUAAUAAAAAUUUAAAAACUUUGUGUAUAAGAUUCAUUCAUACAUAUGGUAGAAGAAAUAAUUUCUUUCUACUAUUUUAUUUCUCUUUUAUUUAUUAAUUUAUUUAAAUUAUUUAAAUAGAUUUCUUCAAAUCUUUUCCACAUAAGUUUUAUAAAUAAUUCAAUUACUAAAUAAUUUAAUUACUUAUAAGCUGUUAUGUAAUUUACGUUGCACAAACACCAAUUUUAGUUAUUUUUAUUUAAAUAGAUUUAAUUAUUAAAUUACUUUUAUAUAAUUUUAUUCAAUUAAUAAUUAGAUUAAUAAAAUUAUAUAAAAAUAUAAAAAUAUAAAAUAAAAUUUAGCAUUAAAAUAUUUUUAUAUCCGCAGCAUCGCGCGGGUCUUCCACUAGUGAUGCAAACUGAGAGGUUGCCAAAAGUAAAUUUUCACUUUUGCUUUUGUUUAAAGGUAAAACUAGGUUCAAUUUAUCAAUUCCGAUGAACUUUAAGAAAGGAAGCAAAAAUUUCAGCAAAACAAAAAUUAAAAUCGAAUUGAAGUAAUACUAAGAUGAUGAAAAACCUUCAAUAUAUGAGAUAAUAACAACCAACUGAAAAUACAUAUAAUAGUUCCAAAAGGUAAAUUCGGCUUUAUCGGAUUUAAAGCUUUAGGUUUGGUUGUUUGGCAAAUAUGGUUGGUAAUGGUGGAAGGUUAGAUUAAAAGGGGAUAAUAUGAUGUCAGGAGAUGAGAGAUACAAAAAGUGCACCGUUCACACGAUCGUGGGGGAUCCACGAUCGACAAGGAGGGCGGUACACCACGGCUAGAAUUUCGGCAACGGGGAAAAAGAAGAUGAGAUAGUGACUCGGAAGAAGAGGAGGGAUAGAAGUAGAAGCCGAUCUUGUCACGAGGAAGAAGCGACAACGAUCAAGUUGAGGAAGAAGACGAUCUCGGCGCGAGGAAGAAGAGUCGAUGAUCUCACCGGGAAGUGGAACACCAAGGAUAUAGAUUGAGAGUAGAAUUUUCUAUUCAUCCAAAUAUAUCCCUUAAGGUUUCAAGAACCAUGUAUUUAUAGUGUUGAAAGCUCUCUGAUAAUAAAUUAUUGUCUUUUCGUUUUCAACACAACACGGUCACCCAAGAGUCAUGCAUAGAAAACGAAGCAACUUUGGGAAUUUCAAAGGUCUUUCUUUUAUUUUUUUGGGGAAUUCCAAAGGUCUUUUUGGGAUUGAUUUUUUGUUUAUGGGAUAAAAGGGUUUGGGUUAGCCAAAUCAACUAAAACCAAAUGAUUUAAGUCCGAAUCAAACACGAACCUACAAAAUAAAAGAAAAUUGCAUUUGAAAAUAAAACGAGAUUUAUUUGCUGCAUCAGUUCCCCUCGAGUUGGGGAAAUCUCGACUUCGUCGAGAUGGCAUCCUGAUAUCUCUGGUACAAGUCCUCUUGAAGUUGGCGCAACUCCGCCUCAGAAAUCCAACUGCUAUCGGACAAUGGUCGUCCACGCCAACGCACCAACUAUCGGCGAUAAGUACCACGUCGGCACAUCCAGAAUAUCCUCCACGCCAUCUGAUGGAGUUUCAAUGUCGGAGCGAGAUGUCAAGCCAUCAAUAUCGACAGUAGAGGGGGCCUUUCCAUGGUACUCGUAUAGCUCGCUGACAUUGAAGAUCGGAGACGUCGAUACUUCUGGAGGUAGAUCAAUUAGAUAAGCAUUUUCCCCUAAUUUCUUCAGAAUUUUGAAUGGCCCGUACUUUUUCCUCUUCAACUUGCUAUAGCCUCCAGCUGAGAACCUUUCUUUUCUAAAUAGAUUAAGACAUUAUCUCCAUUAAAAGUCAUACCUCAGCGAUGUUUAUCAGCUGACUCCUUGUACUUGACAGUAGAAUCCCGCAACCUCUGAUGAACUUGUUGUUGCACCUCUUGAAUUUGUUUUAGGUAAUAGUUGGCAUCUGCACUAACUCUACCAGGGUAAGGUAUUGGUGCUCGGUCAAGAAAGUGGGCUAUAGGACAGCCAUAUAAAGCUUCAAAAGGAGAUUUUCCAAUGGUUCGGUUUAUGGAACUGUUAUAAGCAAAUUCAGCUUGAGGUAAAUUAAAUCCCAUUGUGUUGGUUUUUCUCCAACUAAACAUCUUAAGAGAUUACCCAAAGAUCGAUUUACUAUUUCCGUCUGCUCGUCAGUUUGUGGAUGGUAUGGGCUACUGAAAUUCAGUUUGCUUCCUGCCUUCGACAUUAAAGUUCUCCAAAAAUGACUAACAAAUUUUGUAUCUCGAUCAGAGGUAAUUGAUUUAGGAAUGCCAUGUAAACGUACAAUUUCAUUGAAAAAUAAUUUUGCAAUAUGUGAUGCAUCAGAAGUUUUCUUGCAAGGAAUAAAAUGAGCCAUUUUCGUAAAACGAUCAACAAUCACAAAAACUGAAUCAACUUGGCGUGCAGUCUUGGGUAGGCCUAGGACAAAGUCCAUGUUAAUAUCCUCCCAGGGCACAUUGGGAAUGGGCAGGGGAGUAUACAAGCCAGUAUUUUGAGUUUGUCCUUUAAAUGAUUGACAAGUCUUACACCGCUGAACAAACCUUUCAACGUCCUUCCUCAUGUUAGGCCAAUAAUACCUCUCUUGAACUAAUCCCAAAGUUUUGUCUCUCCCGAAAUGUCCUCCUAGCUCGCUAUGCAAGUUCUGAAUCAAGGACUCUCUUAACGAUCCCUGGGGAAUGCACAACUUGGACUUUCUAAAAAGAUACCGGCCGUCCAAACAGUAAUCAGAAGGUGAAUCACUAUCAGGAGAUAGGCACAUUUUUAGGAUAGGACCGAAGUUAGGGUCAUUUUGAUAUUGGUCCUUAACUAUCUCAAAUCCUACUAUCUGUAAGGAAGAAAUGAUAAGCAAAUAGUUUCUACGACUGAGUGCAUCAGCGACUCGAUUAGCAAUGCCUUGUUUAUGCCGCAAGUGAAAAGUGUAUUCUUGCAGGAAUGCAGACGCAUGUCUUUUGUUCGAGUUUUUUUUGAGAAUUUAAAUAUCGCAAUGCUUCAUGAUCCGAAUUAAGAAUAAACUCUCGAUGAAUCAAGUAGGGUCGCCAAUGUUUCAAAGCCUGCACGAUCGCGUAAAAUUCAAGAUCAUAAGUGGAGUAACGUACUCGUGCAUCGUUCAAUUUUUCACUAAAGAAGGCUAUAGGACGUUUCUUUUGAGACAGUACGCCUCCAAUUCCGAUAUGUGAGGCAUCACAAUCAAUCUCAAACACCUUUUCGAAGUCGGGCAAGGCAAGUACUGGAGCCUUUGUAAGUUUGUCCUUAGCCAAUUGAAAACUUUUUUCAGCUUCAGAUGUCCAAGUAAAUUUACCCCCUUUUAGGCAAUCAGUUAUUGGCGCAAUUAAUGAACUGAAAUUUCGAAUGAAACGCCGAUAAAACGACGCAAGUCCGUGGAAACUUCGGAUUUCAGUUAUAGUCUUUGGGGUUGGCCAAUUCUGAAUUGCUUCUAUCUUAACAGGAUCUACCUUAAUUCCCUCGGUGGACACCACAUAGCCUAAGAAGGUAAGGCUAUCGGUCAGAAAUGUACACUUCUUAAGAUUCAGAUGUAAGCUGUUAUCUCUUAAAGUUUGAAGCACUUGUCUUAAAUGAUCCAUAUGAGUUUCAGGACUCGUGCUAUAAAUCAGAAUGUCGUCGAAGUAAACUACGACAAAUUUUCCAAUGAAUGGUCGCAAGACUUGGUUCAUAGAGCGCAUGAAAGUACUAGGGGCAUUGGAUAGCCCAAACGGCAUAACCAACCACUCGUAUAAUCCUUCUUUAGUUUUAAACGCCGUUUUCCAUUCAUCUCCAGGUCGAAUACGGAUUUGAUGAUAUCCGCUCUUAAGGUCAAUCUUAGAGAAUAUCUUCGCACCUCCUAACAUGUCAAGCAUAUCAUCAAUCUCAGGAAUGGGAAACCUAUACUUGAUGGUAAUUUUGUUAACUGCACGACUGUCAAUACACAUUCGCUACGUUCCAUCCUUUUUUGGUGUAAGGAGGGCAGGCACCGCGACAGGGCUCAUACUUUCUCUAAUGUAACCUUUUUGCAGAAGUUCAAAAACCUGCCUAUAUAACUCUUCAUGCUCAGCGGGACUCAUCCUGUAAUGGGCUAGGUGUGGAAGACUAGCACCGGGUACAAAAUCAAUGCAGUGUUGGAUGUCUCUCAUAGGUGGAAGGCCAUCGGGGAGUUCCUCAGGCAUGAUAUCAGAAAAUUCAUUAAGCAAUGGUUGAACAACUUGAGGAACUUCAGUGUUCUUCGAUAUUUCUUUUGCCAAAAGAAUAUAUACCACUGGAGACUUUGCUAGAUCUUUAGAGAAUUGGCUUUUGUUCAAAACCAUCAUUUUCUGCUCAUUAUUGGAGGGUUGCUUUUGGGACUCAAUUGGCUUAGACUUUGGUUUGGGAAAGUAAUUUAGGGGAACCAAUCUAACUUUCUUUUUGUCCUUUUUGACAAUGUAAGUGUUCUCCCUACCAUCAUGUAUAGUGCUACGAUCAAAUUGCCAAGGUCUACCUAACAAUAGGUGACUCACAUCCAUGGGAACAACAUCACACCAAACUUUAUCAGCAUAAGUUUUCCCAAUAGAAAAUUCAACAAGACAUCUUUUAGUUACAGGAAAUUCAUCCCCAUCCUUAAACCAAGCUAUUUUGUAAGUUUGAGCAAGUUUUUCAGUUUUCAGUUUAAGCUUAUCAACUAUUUCUCAAGUGACAAAGUUUUUAGUACUUCCACUAUCAAUGACCAGAGAGCAAAACUUGCCUCCCGUGCUACAAAUGGUUCUGAAAAGGCUACGACGCUUCCAAUCAUCUUGGGUGGACUUAGAGGCUGAUAGGACUCGAUGGAUCAUGAGAUUUGUUUCAGUAGCAUCAGGAGAUUCUUCGGAAAUCUCAUCAACAUCUUCUUGUUCUAAAGUUUCUUCCCCAUUUUCAUUCUCUUCAUGACUUUCUAUUAGAUUGGCUCUAGAAUCAAAUUUUCUCAAAGGGCAAUCAGAGGAUUUAUGUCCAGGUUUGUUACAUUUAUAACAAAUGAUGCCAGAUUCAGCGGGUUUUGCACCUAAAAUUCCUUUGCCCUUGAGGUCUUGAACAAGUCUUGAAGAGGUAAUUAGUUUGAACUUGUUUCCACCACACUAAGGCAUGUCCUUUCAAUUUAAGGGAGACAAAUUUAACUUUUUUGUCAUCAGGUAAUUCUUUCCAUUCAAAAAAUUGUUCUAUUUUGUCUAGCCAAUCCACAAAAUCUUCAGGUUGUAAUUUACCCUCGAACUCACUCACGUCCACUUUAAUGCCCUGAUCCCAUCUAUGUAUAUUUCCUUGAUUUUGAAGAAGAGGAUUUCUUCUAACAGGUACAGUACGAUUGUCAAAAUCAGGGUCACUUUCCGAAUCUUCUCCAACUGCAGUUUGUUGUUGCAUACUUAAUCUUUCCAAUAGUUGUUGAAUGUUAUUCAUUUGAUUUUGCAUGCGUUUCAUGGAAUCUUGUUGUUUCUCAUAUGCUUCUCUCCAAUCACGAGGAUUUUCACUACUGCCAGCCAUUUCCAAAUGCUAACAAGUUGAUCAAAAAGUGAUGCCCUUUUUUUUUUGAAUAUUUUGGCCCAAAGUUGAAUACUAAGAAAAAGUUGUUUAGAUCAAAACAAACGCUGCCACGAAAAGAACUUUCUCUGAUACCAAUUGAUGCAAACCGAGAAGUUGCCAAAAGUGAAUUUUCACAUUUGCUUUUGUUUAAAGGUAAAACUAGGUUCAAUUUGUCAAUUCCGAUGAACUUUAAGCAAGGAAGCAAAAAUUUCAGCAAAACAAAAAUUAAAAUCGAAUUGAAGUAAUACUAAGAUGAUGAUAAACCUUCAAUAUAUGAGAUAAUAACAACCAACUGAAAAUACAUAUACUAGUUCCAAAAGGUAAAUUCGGCUUUAUCGAACUUAAAGCUUUAGGUUUGGUUGUUUGGCAAAUAUGGUUGGUAAUGGUGGAAGGCUAGAUUAAAAGGGGAUAAUAGGAUGUCAGGAGAUGAGAGAUACAAAAAGUGCACCGUUCACACGAUUGCGGGGGAUCCACGAUCGACGAGGAGGGCGGUACACCACAGGUAGAACUUCGGCAACGGGGAAGAAGAAGAUGAGGUAGUGACUCGGAAGAAGAGGAGGGGUAGAAGUAGAAGCCGAUCUUGUCAUGAGGAAGAAGCGACAACGAUCAAGUUGAAGAAAAAGACGAUCUCGGCGCGAGGAAGAAGCGUCGAUGAUCUCACCGGGAAGUAGAACAACAAGGAUAAAGAUUGAGAGUAGAAUUUUCUAUUCAUCCAAAUAUAUCCCUUAAGGCUUCAAGAACCAUGUAUUUAUAGUGUUGAAAGCCCUCUGAUAAUAAAUUAUUGUCUUUUCAUUUUCAACACAACACGGUCACCCAAGAGUCAUGCAUAGAAAACGAAGCAACUUUGGGAAUUUCAAAGGUCUUUCUUUUAUUUUUUUUUUGGGGAAUUCCAAAGGUCUUUUUGGGAUUGUUUUUUUGUUUAUGGGAGAAAAGGGUUUGGGUUAGCCAAAUCAACUAAAACCAAAUGAUUUAAGUCCGAAUCAAACACGAACCUACAAAAUAAAAGAAAACUGCAUUUGAAAAUAAAACGAGAUUUAUUUGCUGCAUCAACUAGUAGAUGCAUUAAUUUGUGGGUGUUAUUUUGUAUUCCUAAGUAUCUUUUAGUAUGUGCUUAACUUGGCAGACUGAUAUGCACAACUAUGGAUUAAUGGAUGUCUUAACAGACUAUCUCAAAGAAGUUUGGGGAUGCUUAUAUGCACUAUUAAAAGAUGUGAGUGGCCAAUGUGGAAAGAACCCCUUUCAUAUUUUGUUUGAGUUCAAAGGGAGAUUCUUCCUUUUCGUGAAGCUUGUUUUGCCUCACUAUUGACGCAAACUCUCUUACUAUGCCUGAACCUCAUUAUUGAGGCUCUACAUGGAACAAGUAUCACAAGGAAAUAUUUAGGGACUUGCAUUAACCUUUAGCAACCAGAAAUGGGAUGCAUUUUCCAUGCAAGGCGCACUUUAUAGAAACCAACUAUCUUGUUGAUAUAUAUAUGGUGUUAUAAUGUUGAAUACAUUCUGACAUCUUUGCCAAGUAAAAGAUUUUCUGUUGCUUAAUAUCUUGAUUGAUAAACAUAGAUUAGAGUGGUUUGUGAAAGAUAGGCUAAAGAGCUUGUCUUCUUGGGUUGUAUUCGUGCAAAUAUAUAAUACAAAAGAUAUGUCUACUAUAGUAAGAAUACCUACUAUAGUAAUAAUAAUACAACUGGGAUUAUAUACUAUAUAAUCCUACUCUAUAUAUGAUUGUAAUAUACAGUUUCUAAUAUAGAGUAUUAAUACUAAAUAUGUCGUAACAUCCCAUCGCAAACUAAGCAUCCAUCAGUUGGAUGCGAAGAUUGCGCCGCAGUGCUGAGAACCGAGAGGGUGAUAAAGGCUUAGUGAAAAUAUCAGCAAGUUGUUUAUUAGAAGAUAUAUGAACCAAUUCCAAAUCGCCAGUAUGGACUUUUUUCCGCAGGAACUGAUAAUCAAGUUCAAUGUGCUUUGUCCGAGCAUGAAGAACAAGAUCGAUCGCAAGGUAAGUGGAACUGAGGUUAUCAUAGUAGAUGCUGAUGGAGCGCCAUAGGAAAACAACAAGGUCACAAAGUAGAACGGAUCCAUACCGUCUCAACAAGCACGUAGGCUACAGUACGGUAUUCCGCUUUAGAACUAGAACGAGAAAUGGUAGGCUACUUAGUGGACCAGGAAAUAUGAUUAGGCCCCAAAAAGAUGCAAUAUCCAGAGGUAGAUCGACAUGUAUCUUGACAACUAGUCCAAUCAGCAUCUGCAAAUGCAAGAAGAAAAGGGUUUACGCAGCAGGAGAUCAGAAUGCUAUAAGUCAACGUCCCACGAAUAUAUAGGAGAAUAUGCUAACGGCUUGCAUUUGUGGGUCACAAGGAGCAUGUAGAAACUGAGCAAUAAAGUUGACGGCAUAUGAUAUAUCGGGCCGUGUGAAGGUGAGAUACUGUAGAGCACCAACAAUCUGACGAUAACGAUAGGGAUUCUCAAGGGGAUGCCCCUCAUGAGAAGAGAGGCGAGAAGUCGGAGAGAGGACUAGAGAUAGGCUUACUAUCAAGAAAACCAUGUUACUGAAGCAGUUGGUGUGUAUACUUGUGCUGAGAUAGACGAAGACUAGAAGUUGACGAUGAACCUCAAUGCCCAAAAAAUAAUGCAGCGGUCCGAGAUCUUUCAUAGCAAAUUCCUAUUGUAAGGUGGCGAUAAGAGCUUCUAGAGGAGAGGAGUUGCCGGUGACAAUAAUAUCAUCACCAUAUAAUAGAAGAACAGGAGUGCCAGAAGAGGAACGACAAGUGAACAUCGAAGGAUCAGCAGUGCUUCCAACAAAACCAAUUUCAUAAAGAAAUGACGUAAAUCGUUGAAACCAAGCCCGAGGUGCCUGUGUGAGACUAUAGAUUGCUUUGCGGAGAAGACAAACAUGAUGAGGAAAAGAGAGAUGCACAAGGCCAAGGUAGUUGUGCCAUAUAAACCUUUUCAGAGAGUGUGCCAUGAAAAAAAAUCAUUCUUGACCUCAAGUUGACGAAGGGACCACCCAGAGGAGAGAGCCAUUGAAAGAACAGUAUGAAUAGUGGUCAACUUGACAACUGGAGAAAAGGUUUCAUCAAAAUCAAUAUCGUAUUGCUGUUUGUAACCUUGAGCCACAAGCCGAGCUCUGAGACGUUCAAAAGAACCAUCCACCUUCUGCUUUACUUUGUAGACCCACUUUAACCGAUGAGAUUAACGAAAGAGGGAGGAACAAGAUCCCAAGUAGCAUUGGUCAGUAAGGCAUCAAAACCCUUAGUUAUGGCAACACGCCAACCAGCAUGCCAACCAAUAUCCUGAAAAGCUUCAUGAAAAGUGUAGGCUCAGUAGGAAGAACAGGACGCGCAGAAGCCAAUAAGGAGGUAGAUUUAGGCAAACCCUUAGUCAUUGACCGGGUGACCAUGGAGUGUUUUGGAAAGUAAAGGCAUCUCAGAAAGUAAAGGUAAAGGCAUUAUAUCCUGAGGGGGAAGGUGGACGACCAGGGGUGGAAGGUGUUGCAUUAGUAGGAGGCCGGAGGGUGUGUCGUCUUGUAUAGACCUAGAGCUCUGGUGGACUAGCGGCAGCGGCAUCAGUCCCAUUGCUAACCUAUGUGGCAUUAGAACUCAAGGUGGGUGGAAAUAUUGAUAAAUUCUCAGAUGGUGAAACAGGUGGAGUGGAAUCAACGUCAGUAGAGGGACGUGUGAAGGAGAAACCAGAGAUUGCAUCAAUAGUGGAAGGACUCUCACCCAGUAAGGGAGGAUUAGAAAGAAAUUUUUGAAACAGUUGAAAGUUGCAAGUAGUUGAAGAAGAAAAUUUGGAAAGGCAAGAAUAUGGAAAAACUGUUUCAACAAAAGUAACAUGCCGAAAAGUAAAAACUUUACCAGUUCUUGGAUAGAGACAACGAAAACUUUUAUGUUUAUAAGAGAGUCCCAAGAAGAGACAAGGAAGGGAUCGAGGAGAGAGCUUGUUAGCUGCAAUGUCCUGUACAUCGGGAUAACACAAACAUCCAAAAACUCUGACAAGUUGCAAGUUAGGAGAAGCACAACCAUACAGAAUUUUGUAUGACGAUCGUCCUUUCAAAACAGUAAGAGAAGGAAUUUGAUUCACAAGAAACAUAGCAGUUUGCAUGGCAUUAGCUCAGAACCGAGGAGGCAGGCAAGCAAGCUUGAAACAGUAGGCUUCUAAUAAUGUUAGAUAAAUGCCUAUGUUUCCUUUCGGCGAGGCCAUUUUGUUGAGUAUGAGGACAAGAGAAGUGGUGAAGAUUUCGUUUUGCGAGCAAAGUGUAGAAACAUGUUUUCAACCAUUGCUUUAAACUCGAGAAAUUUGUCAAAAACCUUAUGUUUAAAUUUUAAAAAAUAAAGCCAAGAAAAUCAAGAGUAAUUAUCGAUGUAUAUAACAUAAUAUUUGUAACCAGAAACUGAGGGAACGGGUGAUUGCCGUACAUUACAAUGAACAAUAUGAAAAAAAAAACAGAUAGAGAUUCAGAAUCAUGAAAUGAAAGUUUAACAUGUUUUCCCAUAUUACAAGCAUUGCAAACAGAGUGUCAAAGUAGAAUUACCAUUAGAAAUAAUUUUAUUGUUUUUAAUAAAUUUAGAAAGAACAAGAAGAUUAGGAUGACCUAAUCGUCUAUGCCAAAUAUCUCUACUAAACCUAGAUGUAACAAGAGCCAGCUGUUGCUUAUUUCCUACAGUUGCAACUUUAGAAGAAAUUGGAUAGAGUGAUGUUCCUAAGUUAGGGCAGCGAAAAAGCUCCCUCUCUAUUUCCUUGUCCUUCACAGAAAAAUCAGAAGAGUCAAAUUCAAAAAGGGACUUAUUGUCAUGACAGAAUUAUCGCACUGAAAGUAGAUUUCUCUUAAUAGAAGGAACAAAAAGAACAAUUUUAAGAGCAAAGGAAUUAGAGGGCGUAUUCAAUUGUGUUUUACCUGUCUGAGUAAUAUCAAGUAAUUUCCAUUACCAACAAGAAUUUUGCAUGCCCAAUAUAAGGUUUAGAAGAUGAGAGGAUACCGAGAUUCGCGGUCAUAUGAUUAGAGGCUCCAGUGUAUGGAUACCACACUUUCUCACCAGGUUCAUGAAAAUUCAUAGUAGCAAAAGUUUGAGGAACAUCAUCGGCAACGAAGGAUAGUUGAAAUAUUGUCUACAUUGGAGAGCAGAAUGGUUGUACUAUGAAAGAUAGGCUAAAGAGCUUGCCCUCUUGGAUUCUAUUCAUGCAAAUAUAUAAUACAAGAGAUAUGUCUACUAUAGUAAGAAUGCCUAGUAAUAAUAAUACAACUGGGAUUGUAUACUAUAUAAUCCUACUCUAUAUAUGAUAGUAAUAUACAAUUUCCUAAUAUAGAGUAUUAAUACUAAAUAUGUCGUAACAGUUUGUUUGAACAAUCUAUUAAAAAUUGGUGGCUUUCUCUUGUGCUUGUUGGCUUAGGCCUCAUCUCGUCAUUAGACUAACCCUUCGCCUAGUCUUUAAACUUUCUUAAAAAUUAGUUGUUGGUUGUUGAAGGAUCGUGAGAGCUAUGUGAUAAUAAACCAAUAUUGGAAGACUUGGGGAAUCAUUUCAGCAAGAAGUUCUGACCCUAAUGUGUGCUUUAUGUCGAUCAUUUCCAUUACUUAUAAUUUCUUCCUCUGUAUUGUUUGUACCAAACAAUUAUGGAGAGCAAAUGCUUUAGAACUACUUUCAUGCAAGUGCUUCCAUAUAGUUACUCAGAAAAGCAGAAGCAACACCGAAAGCUCUGAAUUUACAUUUACUGGAUGAGCGUUGUUGUUCCUCUUAUUUGCAUGCAAGUUCCAACUAACUGAUUUGCAAGAUAUAGCACAUAUAUAUUUUUCUCUUUAUUGUAUUUGCAAUUUCUUGUUCAAAUAGGACUGGUUAACCCUUGAGACAUCCCACUUGAGCUGUGAAUUUACAUCUAUUGGAUGAGCAUUGUCAUACCUGUCAUUUGCAUGCAAGUUCCAACUGACUGAUUUGGAAGAAAAAAUGCAGAUAUAUUUUUCUCUUUAUUGUAUUUGCAAUUUCAUAUUCAAGUUGGGCUGGUUAACCCUUAAUACAUCCCACUUGAGCUAUGAAUUUCCUUUAGAUGAGCUAGUUUGUGAUUUAUCUACUUUUUGAUUUCUUCUUAGACUUCUGUAAGUAGGACAAAAUCUCAAUGGUAAUUCAUGACUAUCUAUCCUUCAUAUGCAGUUUACAACAUUGCCUUUACUAUUCACUUCAGAAGGGCAAAAGAUGCCUUUCUGUUCUUGCUCUUUUCUUUUUGAAAUUUAUGAAUAUCAUGAACUCUGAAUCGUCUUGACGAUCUGGUCCCUGAUUCAUUAUUAGCCUUCUUUUCCGCUUCUUUUCAAACUUUUUAAAAUUUCCUGUGAAUGUUUGUUUUGCCAACCUUGAGCUUUUUGUGCAUAGUGUAAUGCUAAAAAUAACGCAACAAUGUCUACCUGCACAGGUGAGCCAUCACCCAAUGAUUGUUGCGUGCCACUGUGAGGGCAUCGGUUGGAAGUUCUGGGGAGAUAGUAACCUAAAGAGCAAGUUUUGGGGCCGUUCAAUUCAGCUUGACCCUCUAGGCAUCCUGACACUUGAGUUUGAUGAUGGCGAAGUUUUUCAAUGGAGCAAGGUAUUUUUGACCAGCACAUGGGAUUCUCUUCACCCCGAAUUUUUUUUUUUUUUUUUUUGGCAAUGUUUUCAAUAUAUAAACUAGAGUUGUAUGCUAUUUCAGGUGACAACCUCCAUUUACAACCUCAUAUUGGGUAAGCUUUAUUGUGAUCAUUAUGGUACUAUGCGCAUACAAGGAAAUCGUGAAUACUCAUGUAAGCUCAAGUUCAAGGAGCAGUCAAUAAUUGAUCGCAACCCGCAUCAGGUAAUAAACUCUGCAUACUCCUCACAUUAUAUAUAUAUAUUUUUUACUUUACCCAACAGCACUACAAUGCCUAAUUAUCUUUUGUUUUCUCAUUUCUUUCGGUGUAUUUAUUUCUCUCUUUGCUAAGGUUGAUGUUGUUGCAUAUGGAGUAAUAAAAUUUUCCAUUGUUAGUAUAUGUAUCUAGGACUAUUUUUGGCUGUAAUUCCAUAUCUUGCUUUGUUAUGGAUGAAUGUUAUUGUUGCUAGGUUUUUAUGUCACCACAAACAUGAACACCUAGUUGCUUUUCUGAAAUACUGAGCCACACUUCAAUUUGUUACUAAGGGGCUGUUUGCUUGCACGUAGUUGCAACUGCAUUUCAGUUAUAAUUGCAUGAAGAUCCAAAUCCGGCAUUUAUUUUGAUUCAUUUAAAUUUAACUGCAUGAGGAGUCUCAAUUGCAAUAGUUGAAACUAUGUCCAACUUGGCCGCAGUUCCAACUGCAAAACUUGAAGAGAGUUAUUUUAAUCAAAAGAAAGCUAACCUCCCUAAUAAUUUUUUAAAAGGGUUAAUUCCAUACAACUCCCUGUAAAUAUAACGAAUUGCAAAUAUAUCCCUACAGAGUUCAACUUUCUUAUGUUAUCCCUGCAAAAGUCCUAAUGUUUUCAAAUAUGCAUCUGCUAUUAGGAUCCGUGAGAAAAAUUUAGUUAGUCAUAGAUAAAAUACUUAACUUUGGUUAGUCAAUCAGGUAAAUUGACAUUUUUUACCUCUCUUAUAUUAUAUCUUCUUCUCUCAAUCAAAACCGUAGCAAUGGGAAUUCUACUUCUUCAUUCUGUUUCUUCUUCCUCUCUCUUCCUCUUCCUCUUCCUCUUCCUCUUCCUCUUCCUCUCUCUCCUUCAUGCUAGUUUCGAACCCGUAACUAGAAUUUCUCCAUCCCCAUUUAUCCACGACGUGUGUUGUUUCGCCCAUAUCGAACGUGUGUCGCUUUCCUACUCAAUUUUCUCUAUGAUUUUUUUUUUUAUUUUUUUAUUUUGCUCAAAAGAAAAGGUUUAGGAGAAAAUGAGUGAGAGAAGAGGUUGCAAUAAUGGUUGAUUGGGUUGGAUUUUAAAGAGGAAGAAAAUGUCACAAUUUUUUCAGGGGACAUUUUUGCAUGGUUAUAGAAGUUGGGGCUUUUGGAGGAUAUAUUUGUGAUGGCAAAAUUGACAUUUCACUUACCUGCUGUUAAAAAUAAACAGUUCUCUAACAGUAACAAUUUAAAGGGACAAAUAUGAAUAUCACUGGACUUUUGUAGGGCUAAGAGUUAAAAGUUGAACUUUGUAGGGAUAUAUUUGCUAUUCGCUAUGUUUGUAGGGGUCUGUAUGCAAUUAACCCUUUUUAAAAAGUUUUCUUUUUUCCUUACCUACCUAAGAAGUAAUUUCACCACUCCAUAUAUAAAAUGAUAAAAAUUCAUGAAUACACUUCUCAACCGCUUGCAACCAAACAAAAUAUUUAUAGUUGUAGUGUUGUCUACUAUAUCCAUUCAAAUAUUGUAAUUAUAAUUUUUGCAUUUUUGGUUGCAUGCAUCUUCAACUACGCUACAUUUAUAAUUACGUUGAACCAAACGACCCUUUAAUAUAUACACUGUAUUCAGUUUGCGCGCUGCAGCCUUGUCUUGUUAAGGGAAGUUUAUACAGCAAUCUGCUCAUUCAAUUUCACAGCCUUCACUGAUGAGUUACGCAUUAUUGACUUGUUGAGGGCAAUUUAGUGUAUAAGUGAAUCCUGCUUCGUGCUUCAUGUGAGUGGCAUCUUUAAGGAGAGAUCAGAUACAAAGCUUUUAUAAACCUUUACUUUGUGUUAUGAUUCAUAACAUGUGAUGCAUUUGUUCAGUUUCCUCUAAAUUUUUUCUGUCGCUGUAUUUCCCAUUCAUCCUUUACCAUUUUAAGUUUUGGUAGCUUGACGAAGUGACCACUUCCUUUAACGUUUGAGACAGACUGGUAUAUUUACAUGAUUAUAUGCAGGUUCAAGGCGUAGUUCAAGAUCGUAAUGGUAAAACAGUGGCUACACUCUUUGGUAAAUGGGACGAGAGCAUGCAUUAUGUGAAUGGAGAUUGCUUUGGAAAGGGGAAGGGGUCCGAUUCAUUCUCUGAGGCUGGCUUGCUCUGGAAACGCAGUAAACCAUCCAAGUGUCCCACUCGCUACAAUCUUACGCGUUUCGCCAUUACAUUGAAUGAGCUCACUCCUGGAUUAAAGGUGGGAGCCCAUUUUCGUUAUUUCUUAGAAACCAUUCUCCGUAAUUUCACCGGGGCUGUACAAUUAGAAUUACCGAUCAGUUUCUCAAAACAAAGAAUUGCUGAUUAGUUCUAUGCUUGGAACUGUUGAAUCUAUUUUAGGAAAAGCUGCCACCCACGGAUUCAAGACUCCGGCCUGAUCAGAGGUGCCUGGAGAAUGGUGAGUAUGAAAGGGCAAAUGCUGAGAAGUUGAGACUCGAACAGAGACAGAGACAGGUAAAUAUACCUUUGUAGUAGUUUAAUCUACAAAUUUUGAGGUCCUAAUGCAUUUACAAGCAGACGGAUGGAUUGUUUACAUCUGUUGGCUGUUUGAUUACCCAUCUCAAUAAUUUCUCUACACUUUCCUGACCGCUCAUCUGAAUACAAAUGGAUGAUAUACAUAGCCCGUAUGAUACCGAUAGUAUAUAUAGAUCAAAUAUAGAGAGAGAGAGAGAGAGAGAGAGAGAGAGAGAGAGAGAGAGAGAGAGAGAGAAUUGAGCUCCUAUACUUUUAAAAGUACCAAGUCAUUGGUGCUUGUAAAUUUUAGGCCAUUGGAUUAAAGGAUAUGCGGUUAGAAUGAUGUGAGCCCCCUAGGGUGAGAGAGAGAGAGAGAGAGAGAGAGAGAGAGAGAGAGAGAGAAAGAGAGAGAAAGAAUCAAAGACAAAGGCAUAAAUCUAAUGGUAAAAGGUGCUUGGUACUUUUACAAACAUCAUAGCAGAACUCAUAUAUAUAUAUAUAAUAUAUAUAUAUAUAUACAUACAUGUGUGUAUAUAUAGAGUCCGGCUAUAGUGCUUGUGAAAGCACAAAGCACUUGGUACUUGUAAAUUUUUUACCGUUAGAUCUACGCCUUUGAUCAUUUUCACCCGUUAUAUUAUACUAAACCAACCACCCACUCAACCCUAGGGGGUCCACAUCAUCCUAACCGCACAUUCCUUAAUCCAAUAACAAAAAAUCUACAAGCACCAACAAUUUGGUACUUUUAAAAGCAUAGGACCUCAAUUCUCUCUCUCUCUCUAUAUAUAUAUAUAUAUAGAGAGAGAGAGAGAGAGAGUCCAGCUGGGAUACUAUCGAACGUUUGGUGCUAUCAAUUUUUUCGCCAUUAGAUUUAAACCUUUGACUAUUUUCACCCGUUAGAUUAUAUUAUUAAACAAAUAACUCACUCAACCCUAGGAGGCCCACAUCAUCCUAACCGUACAUUUUUUUUUCAUCAAAGAAGCCGAAAACCUAAUAGCAUAAUAGCACCAAUAGCUUGAUACUAUUAAUAGUAUUCCAGCCUAGGUCAUAUAAAUAGAGUUCGGCUAUGAUGUUUGUAAAAGUACCAAGCACUUGGUGCUUGGAAAUUUUUUACCGAAAUCUAUGUCUUUGAUUAUUUUCAAUCGUUAGAUUAUACUAUUCAACCAACCAACCACCCACUCAACCCUAGGAGGCUCACAUCAUCCUAACCGCACAUCCCUUAAUCCAAUGGCCAAAAAUCUACAAGAACCAAUAACUUGGUACUUUUAAAAGCAUAGGAGCUCAAUUCUCUCUCUCUCUCUCUCUCUCUCUCUCUCUCUCUCUAUAUAUAUAUAUAUAUAUAGUUGAGCUAGAAUACUAUCGGUAGCAAACGGGCUAUGUUACCAUCCAUUUGUUUUCAAUGAUCGAGACUCCAAAUUGAUGAUCGACACCAUUGAAUAUGACGCAUACCGCUUGAAGCAUCUAGAAAUCAAAUUUCAUACUUUUUCAAUAUCGUUCUCUUGUCCAUCAAGUGGACACAACAAUGAACUGGUAAAAAUGAAUAUCCUUUAAAAGUGAUGAUAGGAGUUUUGUAAUCAAGAUUAAGAGUCUAGAUCUUGUUUUAAAUAGUUUAAGAAAAUUUUUAAUCAAAAUUCAAUUGAUUUAGAUAUCUUUACACCGUUAAACGAGAAACGUCUCAUAUCGACCGUUAAAAUUAUAAAUUUUGAAACUCUUUAAUCAUUAAGCCAAUGAUGUCGAAAAGACUUGAAAUUUGGUUUCUAGAUACUUCAAGUGGUAUGGAUCAUGUUCAACGGUGCCAAUCGUCGAUUUGGAAGCUCCAUCAUCGAAAACAAAUGGGUGACAACGAAGUCUGUUUGGUACCUUCUAGUUCACCUAUAUAUUAUAGGCUAGGGCUACUAUACUCUUAUGAGUAUAAAGCCCUUCGUAUUCAUAAGUUGUUUUCGAUGAUGAGGCUUCCGAAUCGACGAUCCACUCCGUUAAAUAUGAUCUAAAAUAUUUGAAACUUCUAAAAAAUAAAUUUCGUAAUUUUUCGAAAUCAUAAUAAAAAGUCUAUCAAGCGGGCAUAAAAUGAACGGCCAAAAUCGAACGACGUCCUAAAAAUAGAUGAUCGGAUCCUUCAAUUUAAGAUCGGAGUUAUUGAUUUUUAUCUAGGUAGUGAAUAGAAUUUUUCAAUCAAACAUUCAAUCUAUUCCGAUUCUUUUUUACCAUUAAACUAGCAAGUAUCCCAUAGCGGCCGUUAAAAAUUGUCAAUUUUGUGAGUUUUUGAUCGUAAGGUAAAUGAUAUCGAAAAAUUAUGAAAUUUGAUUUCUAGAAGUUUUAAAUGUUCUAGAUUAUGUUUAACGGUAUGGAUCGUCGAUUUGGAAGCUCUAUCAUCGAAAAUGACUUAUGAGUACGAGAGCGAUCGUACUCAUAAGAGUAUAGCAGUCGGACUCUAAUAUAUAUAUAUAUAUAUAUAUAGAGAGAGAGAGAGAGAGAGAGAGAGAUAAGCACAAUGAAAAAGAAAAAGAAAGGAAAAAAAAAAAACCUUGGUAAAAAAGGAUGGAAAUAACUGCUUUUGUUGCAAAUAUUGCGCGGUCACAUUGUUGCCUUGUUGAUUCUUUGCAUAUCUUAUUCUCUGAGCUUUUCAGGUUUAUGCUAUAUAGAUUGAAUAUCCCUUCCGGCGGACAGAGAUUGAAGCAGUAAUCUGAGUCUACAUUCCUGCUAUAUUUUUCAGUUUACUAUGUUUUUUUUUCUUUUUUCUUUUUUCUUUUUUUUUUUUCAUGUUUGGACCAUUUCAAUGCUUCUAUAAUGCAGCUCGUAGCGACGGAUAAAGCAAAAUUUGAUUGAUCUAUAUAUUAUAUGCAGGCGCGGAAUAUGCAGGAAAGGGGAUGGAAGCCUCGCUGGUUUGCAAAAGAUAAAGGAAGCGACACAUACCGCUACAUUGGCGGUUACUGGGAAGAUCGGGAAAAGGGCCAGUGGGACGGUUGCCCUGACAUAUUCGGCCAAAUUCCCACUGAUCCCUUGUUAACUGACUAGUGGUGGUUUGCAAACUUAGAUCAUCAUGUCUCUAGGUCUUUUCUUUUCUGUCCUUUUUUUUUAUUAGGAUUAUCUAGCUUUACUUGUUUUCUCUCUUUCUCUGAUGCUCGCCAUUUUCGAGCAACCAAAGUGCCUUCUAUGCUUGUAAACAAAGAAGAUAGUAUUUCUCAAAUGUUAUUAUUCUCUUAUACAAAAUAAUAGAAAGAGUUCUCAUUCCAAACGCAGCAUAAUCUACCUAUUCUAUCUUUAUUAUCUAUACAAUAACAUUAAAGGGCGAGCCAUUAACCGUUUUGUGCCUUCUCCUUGAUUUCGGAUGUGGCCCCCCAUCGACUAUUUUCCCCCCUCUCACCCAUCUGACGCGUGGGCCCCGUCUUCUUGAUUUCGGAUGUGACCCCUCGGUACUCUCUCUUCUUCCUGGCGCCUCGGCUCCCCUGUACUUUUCCUGCUGUGCUCUCCUGAUUCUUAUAUUCCCUGUAGGUUCCAUUUAAUUAAAGAGCGAACCCUUAACCAUUUUGGAUGUGGGACCCCCAUCGACCAUUUUUUCUCUCUCUCACCCCUCUGAGGCGUGGGUCCUCUCAGGUGGUGUUUCCUCUCCCUUCUUCUUGGCGGCUUGGCUUCCCCUACUUUUCCUACUGUGCUACUCCGAGGCUUCUCUUCUCUCGCUAUGUUUCUCCUUCUGCUUACUCCUAUGUUUCUCGUACGGUUUGUGCCCUCUUCGGCGCAUUAAUGGCGCCGCUCAGCUGCAGCUUGCCGGGAGAAUGCUCUUUUUUUUUCACCGUACGUCUGUAUUUACCGCAGAUCUGGGCAUUUAAUGCCGUUAUCAAACAGCCGGUUCCUCGGAAAUUGAUCCGUUUUGUGCCGUACGCCCAUAUCUACCUCAGAUCUGGGCAUUUAAUGUUCGCUGCAGGGCCGUCGCUUCCCGGAGAUAGGUGACCCUCGGCGUCGUAUAGCCUCCCAUCACGGCGCGGCGUAGCUGUCGCAACAGCACACUGCGCCGCUCGGCCGCGACGCCCUGCCUCCCCUCUCCUCUCUCUUCUUUUGCUUCGUUUCACACUGGUUUAUAUAUGUGCUCCCUUGGUUGAUAAGUCCCUUGCCUACUUUCUUCCGAACUUGCAAACUAGUUUGCUAUCUUUGUUGUUCUUCUUCGGCUACUUCCUUUUCUCUUCUCAUGUUGUCUGGUAUUUGGAUUUUUAUGUUGCUUGGAUGGUUGGAUGCCUAAUGGUUCCUGUGUUUUUAUGGUUCGUCUGAAAGUUUUUUCUAGGUUUUAAAAUUUUUUUGUGUUCUCUCAGUUUUUCUUAUUCUCUUCUAUUUUUUUGCAGCUUCUUUUCUUCUUUCGGGCUUUUUUUGCAAAUAGCCCCCUUACAAUUUUUUUUUUUAAAUAGUCCUGUCCAAAAUUUAUUUGCAAAAAUGGCCCUGACCCUGCCACGCAAGCGCCAAGUCAGCGCCACGUGGGCGGGGCUGGGGCCAGGUGUUUAAGUUGAACACGGUGAACCAUUCACCGUGUCACCGUGUUCAAAUACGGUGAAUGGUUCACCGUGUCCAAUGUAUUAUACACACCCAGGUUUGGGUGGCUAUAAUACAUAGGACACGGUGAAUGGUUCACCGUAUAAGAUAUGGAUCCCGAGGAUCUAAAAAGUAAUUAACACCUAGAGGGGGGUGAAUAGGUGUAAAAACGGCAAACUCAAAAAUCUCGAUGCAAAUAAAACGAAAUAGCGGAAAAGAAAACAGCACACCGAGAAUUUAACGUGGGAAAACUCCAAAUCGGAGUGAAAAAUCCACGGGACCAAUCACGCAAAGAAAAUCCACUAAGAAAAUAUGAGUACUAGUGAUUUUGACCAAAACACACGACUCAAUUUACCAACUUCCCGUAGAUGAUGAUCUUCGCCGGUCCUCGAUCGAUAAGAAUCCUCCAAUCGAUCUCACUGCAACUCCUUGCAGCGUCAACGCCUCAACUCCUUGAAGCGUCCACCGAAUCCUCGGCUACACGUGAACUCCACACGUCGAAUCUCCUUCCGGAGCUUGUAGAAUUGAAGAUUUGUGGUGAUUAAGCUUUAGAAUCCCAUAAGCUAUGAGGAUCUACCUUUAAUCAAACAUCUACUUGAUUCUCGUAUGAUUUCUUGAGUAAAAACAAAGAAUCAAGUCGAUUGUUGAUUGUUAGAAACUUGUUAUUAGAAUCAAACCAUAAGAACAAGAAUAACUAGUUUCUAGGGUUUAGAAUCAGUAAAAAUUCAAAGCCUUACCUCUUUAGAUGACCCUCAUAGCUUAUUUAUAUGUUUAGAAGACUUAGAAAUAGACUAGAAUUGUAAAAAGUCCUUUUUAAAAACCUGUGUCGUCCCCAGAGACCGGACUUCUCGAGGAGACCGGUCUGUGAGAGACCGGUCUCUCAAGUGAGGAACCGGUCCCUCGCUGCGUGACCAAAAUCACAACGUUCGGGAACCGGUCUCUCAUCUCAGGGAACCGGUUGCAUCAAAACUCACGCAGUGAGGACCUUAGGGGAACCGGUCUCUUGAACUCAGAGACCGGUCCCAGAACACAGAAAAGUUCAGUAAAGUAGUUUUAAAGCCAUCUAAGCCUUCUGAACUUAUUCUAAUUAGGUAUCUUCACCACAAAUGAUCUUUUCUCCAUACCUUAAGUGUCGAGCUUUCCGAAUGAGUCUUUAUUCUUCAAUUUGAAUCUUUUCUUCAAAACUUCUGCGAUCAACUCUUCAAGACUCCAACCAACUUUACGAAAUUCGCCAACCUAUAAAAUUCUUAACACACCGUGUCCAAUACACGAUGAACUGUUCACUGCGUUUAGACACGGUGAACCAUUCAUCGUGUCCUAUUCUAAUACCCCAGCCGUGUCCAAUGUAUACACACCCAAGUCUGGGUGUCUACACUACAUGGACACGGUGAAUAGUUCACUGUGUCCAAUCAGUUUAGACACGGCAAACCAUUCACCGUGUCCUAUACUAAAACCCCAUACAACUCUGGGGUAUUUGUAUUGGACACGGUGAAUGGUUCACCAUGUCCAGACACGGUGAACCAUUCACCAUGUUCUCUUUGAAUACAACCCCCGAGCUGUCUUCCUUUUCCUCCCCGAGCUGUCUUCCUCUUUCUCUCUCUCUCUCUCUCUCUCUCUCUCUGGCCGACGCUGCCCGCCGCGCGCCCUUCGCUGCCGCCGCCCUUUGUUGCCCGAGGUAGCUCCCCACUCCUUAUUAUCCCUCUAGCCCUAGAAGCCCCCACCCCCCACCUCUCUCUCUCUCCUCUCUCUCUUCUCUCUCUCUCUCUUUCUCUGUGCCACCCGGCCGCCGCCGCGCGACGCCGGCCCUCAUCACCCGUCCGAGAACACCCCCCACCCCGCUUGCUCUCUCUAACCGCUCUAGCUCUUCUCUCAUUUCACUGUGGCGCCCCCCCCCCCCACACAGUGGCUUCUCUCUGUGAGAAGCCUCUGUGAGACCCCUUCUCACAGUGGAUUCUCACUGUGAGAAGCCAAUGUGAGUCCCACAGAGGCUUCUCAUAGUGAGAAGCCUUUGUGAGGCCUCUCACAGGCAACCCCCCCCCUCACAGUGGCUUCUCUCUGUGAGACGCCUCUGUGAGUCUCACAGAGGCUUCUCACAGUGAGAAGCCUUUGUGAGGCCUCUCACUGUGCAAACCCCCCUCUCAGAGUCCUCUCACUGAUUGUUCUCGGUGUCUUUGUCACAAGUCAAUCCUUAGCUCUUAAUUGGCAAAGUAGUCGCGCCGACCGUGUUUGUACAAUGGUAAUAGCAUCUCUUACCUUCUCUUUUGUUGUAUGUUAGAAAUGUGGUAUGUCUUGAGUUUAAUAUUUUUGUACAUUUUAUUUUAUUACUUUAGAACUCUAUAUCUGGCGAUUUUGUUCCUUUCGAUAUCCAUUGGGAUGGAAAUUUUGUCGAGAACAAUAAUGUACCACGAUAUAUUGGUGGCGGUAAAGAAUUGGUUGCGGUCCGACGCAAUAUCUCAUUUCGGGAUUUAGAGAUGAAAAUAUACAAUGUUACUAAUUAUGAUCGAGUGGAAGACCGUCUACGCAUCACGGUGAAAUGUCCAAUGGGAGGCGAAUGGGAAUUAGUUAACAUAUCAAAUGACAAUACACUAUCUGGCGAUAUGAGUAUUUUUCCGUUCCAUGGAUGUAUAAAAUUAUUCGUGGAGAAAGAUGUGUUGACGACAAACCACCGUCCAAAUACCGUUUAUCAAAUGGAAAUGCGUCGUAGUCGCAAUGAUCAAAGGAAUUACGUCAAUCGUGAACAAGUUCGUACAUCAAGGUAUAAAGUAAUGAUCUUUAUAAAUCGUUUUCGUGAUUUCUCAAUUAGUUUAGGUGUGCGAAAUUAAUAACUUUGUCUUGUAAGUGUUACAGAGAGUUUGGAGUCCCAUCUCUGCCAGUUAGUGCAGCAUUGCCAUAUGCUAUGAUGGAUCCGUCUCCGUUGGUUGAUCAAAAUGAGUGGUAGGUGAUUGUAUGAUUUAGUUACAUGAAAAAUCAAUGUGAAUAGUUAAUCUUAUAUAUCUUUACAGAUCUACUGUCCCUCCUUAUUCAAGUGAAGAUCCAUCAUCUUAUGUUCAUGAAUGGAUGGAUUGGGAAGUCAGAACCACUAUCCUUCCUUAUCAAAAUGAAGGUCCAUCAUCUAGUGUUCAUGAAUGGCCGACUUGGGAAGUAAGAAGUACUAUCCCUCCUUAUCUAGAUGCAGGUCCAGGACCAUCUAGUGUUCAUGAAUGGCCGACUUGGGAAAUAAGAAAUACUAUCCCUUCUUAUCAAAAUGAAGGUCCAUCAUCUAGUGUUCAUGAAUGGCCGGCUUGGGAAGUAAGAAAUACUAUCCCUCCUUAUCUAGAUGCAGGUCCAGGACCAUCUAGUGUUCAUGAAUGACCGACUUGGGAAAUAAGAAAUACUAUCCCUUCUUAUCAAAAUGAAGGUCCAUCAUCUAGUGUUCAUGAAUGGCCGGCUUGGGAAGUAAGAAAUACUAUCCCUCCUUAUCUAGAUGCAGGUCCAGGACCAUCUAGUGUUCAUGAAUGACCGACUUGGGAAAUAAGAAAUACUAUCCCUUCUUAUCAAAAUGAAGGUCCAUCAUCUAGUGUUCAUGAAUGGCCGGCUUGGGAAGUAAGAAAUACUAUCCCUCCUUAUCAAAAUGAAGGUCCAUCAUCUACUCAUCGUGAAUGGACCAAUCGGGACGUGACUACAACUGAUAAUGAGGACGUAAUUCGAAGUGAUGAGGAGUAUGUUAGUGAAACUGAUGAAGAGGAUCAAGGGCGAAUUGAUGCUGAUUCUAGUGAUGACGAGGAGUCCUUUGUUGCGUGUUCUUUGGAUCCUGAUCAUGACGGUGGCUUGAAUGCCCUCGCAUGCGCCAUUCGAGAUGAAGGUGUUGAAUGGAUUGAAAACUCAAAUGCCAACAACGAAGAUGUACCGGACCCGGUGGAAUUCGUGGAAUUUGAAGAUCAACGACAACGGUUUGUCCUGGGUAAUGAAUUAAUUAAUCAAAGCGUUGUUGAUGCAUAUAGUGAACAAAAUAUUGAUCAGGGUCCUCCAAGUGAUGAAGCAUGGGCUAAUCGGACUUUUUCUGAUAAAUCAUCGCUAGUAAGGGCCUUGGACGCUUGGCACAUUGCACAUAAUGUGCAGCUUAAAGUUGUUAAGUCAAAUACAACUAGAUAUACUGUGCGAUGUGUGGUCGAUUCUUGCCCUUGGAGAUUACAUGCCUCUCAACCGAAAGGUAGUUCAUUUUUUAAAGUAAAGACUUAUAAAGGUCCGCACACUUGUUUGGUUCCAAUUCUAAAUACAAGACAUCGAAACUGCACAUCAUCUUUCAUAUGUCAAUUUAUACUACCUACACUGAAGGCAAGGCUUACAAUGAGUCCGAUGGAAAUUCAAGCUCGAGUUCAGAGCGAGUUACACGUUAGCAUAUCAUAUAGCAAGGCUUGGCGGGCACAGAAUAAAGCACUACAAAUUAUAUACGGUAGUUGGGAGCAAUCAUACUGCGACCUUCCUCGAUACUUCUCUAUGUUGGAAUCAACAAAUCCAGGAACUAUUACAAAGAUUGAGUAUAUUAGUGUGGCGAGCAAUACGAGAAUGUUUUCACGAGCCUUUUGGGCUUUUGGACCGUCGAUUCAUGGUUGGGAGUAUUGCCGGCCAUUACUUAGUAUCGAUGCUACUCAUCUGUAUGGGAAAUACGGAGGCCACGCAUUAAUUGCCACAGGUGUCGAUGCGAAUGGUGGUUUAUUUCCGCUAGCUUUCGCAAUUUGUGAGGGGGAGAAUGGCUCGAGUUGGGAGUGGUUUUUAAGUUGCCUAAGAAGGUAUAUAACAAGAUCUCGAGUUAUUACACUAAUUUCAGAUCGUUUUAAAGGCCUAGCGAACCUCGUUGCACUUGUAUUCCCACCAUCUGAAGGUCAUGCUCAUCGAUGGUGUUUGCGACAUAUGAAGGCCAAUAUGAAUAUUCAUUUCAAAGGAAAACACUUACUUAAAAUUUUUUAUCGAAUUGGGAGUGCUUCAGAAGAACGGCAAUAUUACGCAUUAAAGGAAGAAUUGAAGGCUAUGGAUGAAGAAGCUUGGCGUUGGGUUGACAAUCUUCAUAACGAUAGGACAUACUGGGCUAAAGCUUUUGAUGGUGGUCGACGAUUUGGUAUUAUGACAACUAACCGAUCGGAAAGUUUAAAUGGGGUGUUGAGGGGAGUUCGCGCCUUACCAAUUACAGCUUUUGUGAUGCAACGUUUCAUCGAGUGGUUGAAUUUUUCCUAAAACAUCAGGCGGAGGGCGCUGCAAUGUCUACGCAAUUUGUAUCGACUGUUGAAAACACCAUCAAUAGCCAGAUGAGAAGUGCUAGAGUAUAUACAGUUUGACGAUUCGGAUUUCACGAGUUCGACAUACUUACUGGCGGGGAUGAUGCAUACCAAGUGAUUAUCAAUGGAAGCAGUUCUACAUGUUCAUGUUUGUGUUUGCAACUCACAGGAAUCCCUUGUUCACACAUUUUGUCAUGUUGUAGUUCUUCACACAUGAACAUAGAUUAUUAUGGUUUAUGUUCUCCUUGGUAUACUGUCGUAUCCUAUACGACAUGUAAGGCUUAUGAAUCGCAAUUCCACCCGGUUCCUGAUCGUCGUUAUUGGAUCGCGUCAUAUGAAUCCCCUAUACUGCCACGCGGGAGAAGGAAAAAGGGACGACCCAGAUCUACGCGUAUCCGUAAUAUUAUGGACGAAGCCGCUGGGAAUAGGAGGGGCAAGUGUAGGAUCAAUACCACACUAGCUUUUCUAGGUUUCAUAACAAACAUGGCUUAAUAAUCAAAGUUCUCGCGUCAUAUGAAUCCCCUAUAUAGCUUUUCUAGGUUUCAUAACAAACAUGGCUUAAAAAUCAAAAAACCUAUGUCAAAUCCCUCUUAGGAUCAAUACCAUCAUCCUUAACAAAAGAACAGUGUAUAAAUACCUUGGAUUUUCUUGCUGUUGCAUUUCUUCUCACCUCCACUUCCAUCUUGCUCCAAACCCCUCUAAAUAUGUAGUACACUGGACCUUUACAAAUUGCGAGGUUCGAGUGACUGGAUGUGUUUCGAGCUUUUCCACACUUAGUGGAGGGUCGUAGAAUGUUUUUCGACCUAAAAAGUUCGAAAACCUGAAUUCUUGACGAGUCCUGAGAGUUUUCACUCUCGGGGACCGGUCCCUGAAAGGAGAGACCGGUCCCCCAGUGAGCAGUGUUGCGGCAGCCCUGAGGCAACCGGUCCCUGACGGGCGAGACCGGUCCCCGAGCGCGUCUACGAAGUGAAAGACCGGUCCCGCGCAGGAAGAGACCGGUUCCCGAACGUUGGUUUCUCGGGUUCGCAGCGAGAGACCGGUCCCUGCUGGGGAGAGACCGGUCCCUCUGGGCGAAAACUGCCCAUACCGGGCUGUUGCAAUAUUAGAUUUUUGAGGGACCUAGUUGGAUUUUGUUACAAUAGAGGGUCUAUAUGACCCAUCCACUCUCUCUUCUCCUCAUUUCUCUUCUCUCAACUCUCUCUACACCCUUGAUAGAGAAGAAGAAGAAGAAGGAGAAGGGGAAGAAGGAGGGAAGAAGAAGAAGUUUGAGAGCUACUAGUGGACUUGGAGCAUCUUCCUCACCCUAUCUUCUUCCUUGGUGCUUGGUGCUUGGACUUGGAGCUUGCAAGAGAGAAGAUCUUCACCCUUUGAGCUUGGAUUGAAGCUUCUUAGAGGUUGGUAGCCCUUUCUCUCCAUCUAGACUUUGGAUUUGAGGUUUUCUUGUGUUGGAACCCUAGAAUGAGAUUUUAGGGUUGAUUUUGGGGCUUUUUGAUCUAGGGCUUUUGGAGCUUGAUCACUUGGAUUAGAGCCUUCCUUUGGGUUGGAUUGGAAGGGAUUUAGCUCUCUUUUGGAGCUUAGGAAGAGAUUUUGCACUAGAGGUGAGUUUUGACCCUAUUUUUGAGAUGGUUAAUGUUUGAUCCUAUAGUUGAUCGUAAUGCCCGUGUAUCUCUUCGCUCAAUACUUUUAGGGUAUUUUGAGACUCGUGGACAACUCCGUUCGGCGAAUCGAAGGAGCACGCGACGGUUCGGUGGGUUUGACCUAGCCACACAAUGAGAAAAUCUCAUUGUUGAUGAUUUAAGUGUUAUAAAAUGAAAAAGCAUGCAUAUUCUUAUUAUAUGUAUUUAUUGUGAAUUUUAGAAUGCUUAAAAUGUCUAUGUUGCAUAUAGUAAAAUUUUGGGCCUCUAUGUAGUAGAGAGCAUGCAUGUGUGAUAUAGCAUUCUGGUUGAGAUUUGAAACUAAGAUCCCUAUUAUGAAAAUGAACCUUGCUUUCAUGCAUUUAGCUUAUUUGCCAAUUGUGACAUUAGGGAUUUUUGGAAGCCUAGAGAGGCUGGAGGACUUAGACUAUUUGAGAGAUUGGGCCAAUGUCAUAAAGAGGCAUUGGGCCCGGGCUAAAGUGAACCUUACAAGUAUUGUUUUAAUUGGAAUAUGGAACAUGAAUUGGGCAUGAUUAGUUGUGAUGCUUAGGUGUCAUAAAGAGGCACUAAGCAAGUGUGUGCGUCGGAGCGUCACUUUGAGACUUUAGACUAGAUCCUUGGGAUGCUAGUGACCUUGCCAUGUGAGAGGCAUGAGAGUAGAGUACUUGAGACUUUGACCUUGCUUGUUUGCCAUUUGUGCUCAUUCGCACAUGCUUGUGAGGGUCGCUCCCUACAAGCCGGCACUCCGGAGUUAGCCUACGCGACUUAUGUUCGCUCGUGCGGUAUUGAGAAGCCUACGGGGUCGAGUGGGACAGAUACAUUCCAAGAGUAGGGAUGUCGGGCUACCACAGGCACUUAGGCGGCACAAGCUGGAUUACCCUUGGUAGGUCCUUAAUUGGAAAUGGAAAUCGACACGGUGUUAAGAAUGAAUAAUCACUGCGAGAUAGGCUUAGUAGUUGGGUUACUUGACACGCUCAUGACAUAGCAUUGGGAUAUACAUAUAGUAUACUUACCUGUUUCAUUCAUUAUGUCAUAGUAUACUGGGUUGCAUGAUAGAGCUCAUUCUUUAUGCAUGACAUCUUGGACAGUAGCGUUUACUUGUAGCCAUCGGACGUACUUGUUUAUGAUAGCGUAGAUGUACAUCAUAUUUACAUCAUGCUUACUUGAGACAUAGUAAUAUAGCAUUUCAUAUAUGCUUUCUUUCAGCAGUUAUUGUACUCGCUCUUUAUUGCUUAUUAUUAUUGUCGUUACUUACCCUUUUCUUUUGGGGCCUAGUGGUGCAUUGAGCUGAGGUCAGUAAUUGCCCACUGGGAACUAUAAAUUAUAGUUUUCACGCUCUCUGUUUUGUAUUUUCUUUCAGAGCCUUCCACGCCGGGAGAGGCUAGGGACCGAGGGAAGGGCGUGGCUUCGAGCUAGCUCUUCAGCGAGUAAUGAGUCGCUAGGUGGUCUACCUCUCGAUGUUUUUAUUUUGUGAGAGGUUGAGAGUUGUACCCGUAUAUAUGUAUAGAGACCACCUUUCUUUUGGAUCUUGGUAUUUCUUUUAAGGAGUUAGUAUUGUAUCACCUUAUGCUUUACUUUCUUUGUUUAGUUAUAUUUCUUUUACUCUGGUUUAGAUGAUAGAACUUUUUACUCGCUCUGAUAUCAUUAGUUGUUAUUAUUUUAUUCGUUCUAUUUCUUGCUUUUACUUCCGCUUUAUUGUAGACGCCUUAUAUGUCACAUCUACACGUUGGACUGAAUGUAGAUAACGCCACUUCAUUGGAGUUGCAAGUGCGGGAGAGAUGGCUUUGUUAUGCAGAUGUCCUCCAGGGAAGUCAGAGAAUCCAUGAGGACAAUACGUUUCGCAAAUUGCUCAACGUAGGCCGCGCGCGACUGUUGGACAGCCAAGUACGGCAGAAAAGUGUAUGCUGGAUCAAACUGGUUCCAACAAUACCGCCGUGCGACCGCAGCACUUGGGGUUCAGUGGUCAGUGUGACUAGUUGAGACUAUUGUGUUGUUCUGCAACUAGUCUUCUGCGCUAGCUCGGAGGAUUAGACCCGACUUGGAAUCCGGCAGUUGAAGCCCCUACAUUGGGACCGUAUGAGGUUUGGAUGCGGUAAGUCCGGGUCGGUAGCGUAUGACUCGCUCGUACGCCAAACUAUCGCGGGUGUUACACAAUGUGUUUCAUGAUAUCCGUCCUGCGGAAGUAUAUCCACGACCCGGCUCAUAUUUUGGACGUACGCCUUUGGAGCUGGGGUGAUGCAGCUUUGGAGGAGCAACUUUGCGGAUUUUUGGCUCGGCGAAGCAGUAAAGAGAUAUUGCGGACACCGCUGACCAUUACACCCUACAGCGUGAAGCGUGUUGUAGGAGCAACCACGAUAGCGUUCGCCUGACUAUCGUGGCGACACAUGGUGAUAGCGCAUUGAGGGACCGCCCUAGAUCACCCUCUUUUUUUCAAUGGAGGCUAGUGGGGUACUUGUCAUCUUGUCGAGUUCGUCUGUGGACGAAACUCCCUUUUCAGGAUGGGUCCAGUGAAUGUAGUACAUUGGACCUUGCAAUUGCGAUGUGUUUCGAAGUGACUGGAUGUUGGUUUCGAGCCUUUUCCAUACGUUAAUGUGGUGAAGCGGUUCAUAGCUAUUUUUGACCAAAAGUUCGAAACCUGAAUCUUGACGAGUCCUGAGAGUUUUCACUCUCGUGGACCAGUCCCUGAAGGGAAAGACCGGUCCCCCAGUGAGCAGUGUUGCGGGCAGCCUCGGAGGCUACCCGGUCCCUGGUGGGCGAGACGGUCCCGAGCGCGUCUACGAAGUGAGAGAUCUGUCCGCGCGAGGGUGAGAGAGAUCGGUUCAUACCGAACGUUGGUUCUCGCGGCGUACGUUCGCCCAGUGAGAGACCACGUCCCUGACUGGGGGAUGAGACCGGUUCGGCCUUCUGCGUGCGAAAAAUGCCAGACCUGGGCUAGUUGCAACAUGUGGAUUUUGUGAGCGAUCCCUAAGUUGAUUGUUACAAUAGAGGGGUCUAUAUGAGCAUCACUCUUCUCUUCAUCCCAUUUCUCUCUCUCUAACUCUUCUACACCCUUGAUAGAGAAGAAGAAGAAGGAAGGAAGGGAAAAAGAAGAUAUAGACCCUGGAAGAGGAAUAAAAGUGUGAGGCUAUAGAUUGGUACUUGGGCCAUGCUUCUUCCAAACUAUCUUUUCUUGGUGCUAUUGGUGUCUUGACCUUGAUGUGCAAAGUAGCAAGAUCUUCACCCUUGAGCUUUGGAUUGUAAGUUUUUAGAGAGGUUGGAUCUAAGGCUUUCUCCUCUAGACUCUUGCUUGAGGGCUUUUCUUGUUUUGGCCCUAGAAUGAGAUUUAGCUGUUGAUUUGGGGCUUUUUGAUUGGUAGGCUUUGGUGAGCUUGCAUUCACUUGGAUUAGAGCCUUUCUUUUGGGUUAGGAUUGGAGAGAGAAUUUAGCUCUCUUUUGGAGUUUUAGAAGAGAUUUUGCACUUAGAGGUGAUUUUUCACCUCGGUGUUUUUGAGGAUGAUGGUUAAAUUUGAUCGUAUAGUGAUCGUAAUUAAUGCCGUGUAUCUGCGCUCAAUACUUUUAGGGUAUUUUGAGACUCCGGUGGACAACUGCCGUCGGCGAAUCGAAGCGAGCAACGCGACGCGUUUGAUGGGUUUGACCUAGCAAACACAAUGAGAAAUCUCAUGUUUGAUGAUUUAUAUAUUAUAAAGAUGAAUAAGCUGCAUAUUCUAGUUCAUAAUAUGAUAUUUAGUUGUGAAUUUUUAGAAUGCUUAAAAUGUCUAUGUUGCAUUAAGUAAAAUUUUGGGUCCUAUGUAGUAGAGAGCAUGCAUGUGUGAAUAUUGCAUCUAGGCGUGAUGCAUUUAGACAACUGCAUAGAUCCCCUAUUGAUGAAAUGAACCUUGGCUUUCAUAUGCAUUUAGUCUUAUUGCUCAAUUGUGAUCAUUGGGUUUUUGAACCCUUAUGAGAGGCUGGGAGAUACUUCAGGGAUUAUUUGUAUUGAUGAUUUGGGUCAAUGCUCGAUAAACGGCGAAAGGCGCAUGGUAGCCCCGCCGGCUAACGGAGGCUGAACCUUACGUAGUAUUGUUUUAAUGGAAUAUGGAACAUGAAUUGGGCAUGAUGUGUGUUGAUGCGUACGACGGUGGGUGUCAAAAGAGGCACGUAAGCAAGUGUGAUGCGUUGGAGGUCCUGGACUUUAGAUAGAUCCUGUGGGAUGCUAGGAGCCUUGCCAUGUGAGAGGCAUUGAGAGGUAGAGUACAUUGAGACUUUGGACCUUGCUUGUUUGCCAUUUGUGCUCAUUCGCAGAUGCUUGUGAGGCGCGCUCCCUACAAGCGCACUCCGAUGGUUCGCCUACGCGACUGUAUGUUGCUCGUCGUGCGGGUAUUGAAGAAGCCUACGGGGUUGAGUGGGAACGCACAUUCAAGACGUAGGAUGUCGGGUACCCGGCACUUUAGGCGGCACACGCGGUGGCUCCCUUUGGUAGGUCCUUAAUUGGAAAAUUGGAAAUCGACACAGUGUUAAGAAUUAAUAGUAUAUUCCAAGAUUGACUUACAGUCGGGAUAUCACAAGUUGAAGAUCAGACCUGAGGAUGUGUCGAAGACGGCUUUUAGAACAUGGUAUGGACAUUAUGAGUUUACUGUUAUGCCGUUUGGCCUUACUAAUGCCCCGGCAGUUUUUAUGGAUUUAAUGAACCGUGUUUUCAAGCCUUACUUAGACAGGUUUGUCGUGGUGUUCAUCGACGACAUUUUGGUCUAUUCCCGAAGUGAUGCAGAUCAUGAGGAACACUUGAGACUUGUACUUCAAGUGCUUCGGAAAAAGAAGCUCUAUGCCAAGUUGAAAAAGUGUGAAUUUUGGCUUAGAGAGGUGGCGUUUUUGGGCCAUUUGGUUUCAGGAUCAGGCAUAGCCGUGGACCCGAGGAAAAUAGAAGCUAUCAAGGAUUGGCCAAGGCCGACGAGCGUGACCGAGAUAAGGAGCUUCAUUGGUUUGGCCGGCUACUACCGACGGUUUGUUGAGGGGUUUGCAAAGUUAUCUACUCCCCUCACGAGACUCACGCAUAAAGGCACUAAGUUCAUUUGGAAUGAUGCGUGUGAAAGGAGCUUCCAAGAGUUGAAGCAGAGAUUGACGACCGCCCCGAUCCUUACCUUGCCGACUGCUGGAGCGGGGUAUGUGAUUUAUAGUGAUACUUCCUUUAAUGGAUUGGGCUGUGUUUUAAUGCAGGACGGGAAAGUGAUCGCGUAUGCAUCUCGCCAAUUGAAGGAAUAUGAAAGAAACUAUCCUACCCAUGACUUGGAAUUGGUGGACGUAGUCUUUGCAUUGAAGCUAUGGCGCCAUUAUCUCUACGGUGAGCGAUGCGAAGAAUAUACGGAUCAUAAGAGCUUAAAGUAUUUAUUCACCUAGAAGGAGUUGAACUUGAGGCAGCGCAGAUGAUUGGAGCUACUCAAGGAUUAUGAUUUGACGAUACUUUACCACCCCGGCAAGGCUAACGUGGUGGCUGAUGCGCUAAGUAGGAAAUCGACGGAAAACUUAGCGAUGCUUGUGGUUACUCAACCGCCAUUGAUCGAGCAGAUGAAGCGGUUAGAGUUGGAGGUGGUGGCUCCUGAUACACCUUUGAGACUGAUGACUUUGGUGGUGCAACCUACACUUAUAGAAAGGAUUAAAGAAAAGCAAGCUUCCGACUCGGAGUUGCAAAAGAUUCGAACUAAGAUAGUUGAUGGUUGCACCGGUGACUUCACUUUAGACGGUGAUGGAUUGAUGCAUUUCCGCGGACGACUUUGUGUACCGGCGGACUUGAACAUUAAAGAGGACAUUCUUCAAGAAGCACACCAAGCACCGUAUGCUAUACAUCCGGGAGGCACCAAGAUGUACAAGGACUUGAAGUUGCUGUAUUGGUGGCCCGGGAUGAAGAAGGAUGUUGGUGAGUUUGUUGCCAGAUGCUUAACUUGUCAACAGGUGAAGGCUGAGCACCGAGUUCUUGCGGGAAAGUUGCAGAGCCUACCGAUUCCAGUGUGGAAAUGGAAAAAGAUCACCAUGGACUUCGUGAUGGGACUGCCUCGCUCACAGGCCGGGCAUGACGCUAUUUGGGUGAUCGUGGAUAGGUUGACGAAAUCAGCACAUUUCAUACCUAUCCACACUACUUGGACUGGUGAGAGACUCGCAUAGGUAUACUUGGAUAAGAUUGUGCGAUUACACGGGGUACCUACUUCUAUAGUAUCGGAUUGAGACCCCCGUUUUGUAUCCCAUUUUUGGAGGAGCUUACAGGAUGCUUUGGGUACGCGCUUGGAUUUCAGCACUGCUUUCCACCCCCAGAGCGAUGGGCAGUCAGAGCGUACUAUACAGACCCUCGAGGACAUGCUUCGAGCCUGUGUGAUUGACUUCUAGGGAGGAUGGUCGCAGCAUCUACCGAUGGCAGAGUUUGCUUAUAACAACAGUUAUCAAGCAAGCAUCAAGAUGGCACCGUUCGAGGCACUCUAUGGNNNNNNNNNNNNNNNNNNNNNNNNNNNNNNNNNNNNNNNNNNNNNNNNNNNNNNNNNNNNNNNNNNNNNNNNNNNNNNNNNNNNNNNNNNNNNNNNNNNNGCCAGACAGCCAAUCCGAGAGCUGACCAAAAUCCAAAUUUUUGGGUUUUGGUGCAAGGCUUCGUACCACACUCCUCGGGACACAUGCCAUAGGUCGGAACACAGUCAACGACCUACCAGAAAAUCUGGAAAAGCUCAGAGCACAGCUAAUCACUCGAACCUCGUAAUUUGCAACGGUCCAGUGUGUUCCACAGUUGGAAGCAACGAAAUCCAAACGACGCGAAAUCCGAUACAAAACCAUAAAUUAGAGAGAACUUGAAGUAAUUACCUCUCUACCGCUGAGAUUCAGCUUCUCUGAGGGUUCAGCUGGUAAACGUACAACAAACCGCAGGAAAACACCUCUUUCCUAUGUGCCCAAGACCUCCCUUGAGUGUCCAAACCAGCGAGCAACGAGCGCGGCCCAAAAAAAACUUGAUUUGGCGCUUUUUGUGUAGAGAGAGAAAAAAAAACCCUAGAGAGAGAGAAGAAGAUGAAAGAAGCUUGCUCUGAUCUUCAGCAACCUUCCCUGAGCUCCCAGAGUCGUGCUGGACUCAAAUGGAUGAGAACAAGAGGUGAAAAGUCCAAAAUAACCCUGUUGUCCGGCAGCAGCUGACUCUGCUGCUUGCUGUACCGGUACAGCAUAAUGCCUGUACCGGUACACAAUGCAAAAUUUGCCCAAUGCGCAGAAGCAAUGCACUUUCUGGUCUCCGGUAAUCCGAUCACUCUCUAACUUGUCCAAGAACUUGUCCAAGCCUUUUAGAACAUGUAGGAUAGUUCUACAUUUCAUUCCACACAUUCGAACUCCGCAAUUUGCAAAAGUUCAGUGUAUUACAGGCCGACGCCGCCGCCGCCGCCGCCGCCCUUUGUUGCCCGAGGUAGCUUCAUUCCUCGUUCUCCCUAGCCCUAGAAGCUUCUCUCUCUCUCUUUCUCUCUCUCUCUCCCUCUGUGGCCCACACCGCCGCCGUCGGCGAUGCCGCCGCCGCCUUCACCCGCCUCUGUGAGGCUUCUCACAGUGAGAAGCCCCACCCCACCCCACACCCCACCCNNNNNNNNNNNNNNNNNNNNNNNNNNNNNNNNNNNNNNNNNNNNNNNNNNNNNNNNNNNNNNNNNNNNNNNNNNNNNNNNNNNNNNNNNNNNNNNNNNNNNNNNNNNNNNNNNNNNNNNNNNNNNNNNNNNNNNNNNNNNNNNNNNNNNNNNNNNNNNNNNNNNNNNNNNNNNNNNNNNNNNNNNNNNNNNNNNNNNNNNNNNNNNNNNNNNNNNNNNNNNNNNNNNNNNNNNNNNNNNNNNNNNNNNNNNNNNNNNNNNNNNNNNNNNNNNNNNNNNNNNNNNNNNNNNNNNNNNNNNNNNNNNNNNNNNNNNNNNNNNNNNNNNNNNNNNNNNNNNNNNNNNNNNNNNNNNNNNNNNNNNNNNNNNNNNNNNNNNNNNNNNNNNNNNNNNNNNNNNNNNNNNNNNNNNNNNNNNNNNNNNNNNNNNNNNNNNNNNNNNNNNNNNNNNNNNNNNNNNNNNNNNNNNNNNNNNNNNNNNNNNNNNNNNNNNNNNNNNNNNNNNNNNNNNNNNNNNNNNNNNNNNNNNNNNNNNNNNNNNNNNNNNNNNNNNNNNNNNNNNNNNNNNNNNNNNNNNNNNNNNNNNNNNNNNNNNNNNNNNNNNNNNNNNNNNNNNNNNNNNNNNNNNNNNNNNNNNNNNNNNNNNNNNNNNNNNNNNNNNNNNNNNNNNNNNNNNNNNNNNNNNNNNNNNNNNNNNNNNNNNNNNNNNNNNNNNNNNNNNNNNNNNNNNNNNNNNNNNNNNNNNNNNNNNNNNNNNNNNNNNNNNNNNNNNNNNNNNNNNNNNNNNNNNNNNNNNNNNNNNNNNNNNNNNNNNNNNNNNNNNNNNNNNNNNNNNNNNNNNNNNNNNNNNNNNNNNNNNNNNNNNNNNNNNNNNNNNNNNNNNNNNNNNNNNNNNNNNNNNNNNNNNNNNNNNNNNNNNNNNNNNNNNNNNNNNNNNNNNNNNNNNNNNNNNNNNNNNNNNNNNNNNNNNNNNNNNNNNNNNNNNNNNNNNNNNNNNNNNNNNNNNNNNNNNNNNNNNNNNNNNNNNNNNNNNNNNNNNNNNNNNNNNNNNNNNNNNNNNNNNNNNNNNNNNNNNNNNNNNNNNNNNNNNNNNNNNNNNNNNNNNNNNNNNNNNNNNNNNNNNNNNNNNNNNNNNNNNNNNNNNNNNNNNNNNNNNNNNNNNNNNNNNNNNNNNNNNNNNNNNNNNNNNNNNNNNNNNNNNNNNNNNNNNNNNNNNNNNNNNNNNNNNNNNNNNNNNNNNNNNNNNNNNNNNNNNNNNNNNNNNNNNNNNNNNNNNNNNNNNNNNNNNNNNNNUGGCCAGUAAGAAAUACUAUCCCUCCUUAUCAAAAUGAAGAUCCAUCAUGUACUCAUCGUGAAUGGACCAAUCGGGGAGUGACUACAACUGAUCUAUUGGACGUAAGUAGAAGUGAUGAGGAGUAUAUUAGUGAAACUGAUGAAGACACGGUGAACAGUUCACUGUGUUUAGACACGGUGAACGAAUCACCGUGUCUAAUGCAAUACUACCACCCCGGGCGGGGUGUGAGUAACACAAUGAACAUGGUGAUUGGUUCACCGUGUUUAGACACGGUGAACCAAUCACCGUGUUCAACUUGAAUACCUGGCCCAGACCCUGCCCGCGUGGCGCUGACGUGGCGUUGGCGUGGCAGGGCCAGGGCCAUUUUUGCAAAUAAAUUUUGGACAGGGCUAUUUUUGCAAAUAAAAUUUGUCAGGGGGCUAUUUGUAAAAAAAGCCCUAAUUUUGGGCUUUUGCAAAAGUGGGCCAGCUUUUUUAUUUAUGCAAAUUCAGUCCGAUUUUUCAGCAAACUGACCAAAAUGCCCUUGUACUUUUUUCUCUUUCUUCUUUUUUUUUGUCGUUUUUUUUUCCUUUCUCUUCCCAGAGAGCAGCAGAGGCGGAAACGCCACUCCUGCCCCGGCGACGUCGCCCUCGGCCCGCUCCGGCGAUUGUCGUCGGCGCAACGAGCUCCCUCUCCCUGCUCGACCUAAAUCCUCCGACUCUGCUGAGGCGCGCGCCGUCCUCUUUCUCCACUAAGGACACGGCGACGUUGAGCCGCAGGCUCUUUUCUCCACCAUGCGUCGGAACGCCGAGACGUCGUCGGAGCGGCGAGAUUCACCUCCGACGACGUCGGGGUGGUUGCGAUAGAAUAGAAACGCGCUGGGAAUCGCUCNNNNNNNNNNNNNNNNNNNNNNNNNNNNNNNNNNNNNNNNNNNNNNNNNNNNNNNNNNNNNNNNNNNNNNNNNNNNNNNNNNNNNNNNNNNNNNNNNNNNNNNNNNNNNNNNNNNNNNNNNNNNNNNNNNNNNNNNNNNNNNNNNNNNNNNNNNNNNNNNNNNNNNNNNNNNNNNNNNNNNNNNNNNNNNNNNNNNNNNNNNNNNNNNNNNNNNNNNNNNNNNNNNNNNNNNNNNNNNNNNNNNNNNNNNNNNNNNNNNNNNNNNNNNNNNNNNNNNNNNNNNNNNNNNNNNNNNNNNNNNNNNNNNNNNNNNNNNNNNNNNNNNNNNNNNNNNNNNNNNNNNNNNNNNNNNNNNNNNNNNNNNNNNNNNNNNNNNNNNNNNNNNNNNNNNNNNNNNNNNNNNNNNNNNNNNNNNNNNNNNNNNNNNNNNNNNNNNNNNNNNNNNNNNNNNNNNNNNNNNNNNNNNNNNNNNNNNNNNNNNNNNNNNNNNNNNNNNNNNNNNNNNNNNNNNNNNNNNNNNNNNNNNNNNNNNNNNNNNNNNNNNNNNNNNNNNNNNNNNNNNNNNNNNNNNNNNNNNNNNNNNNNNNNNNNNNNNNNNNNNNNNNNNNNNNNNNNNNNNNNNNNNNNNNNNNNNNNNNNNNNNNNNNNNNNNNNNNNNNNNNNNNNNNNNNNNNNNNNNNNNNNNNNNNNNNNNNNNNNNNNNNNNNNNNNNNNNNNNNNNNNNNNNNNNNNNNNNNNNNNNNNNNNNNNNNNNNNNNNNNNNNNNNNNNNNNNNNNNNNNNNNNNNNNNNNNNNNNNNNNNNNNNNNNNNNNNNNNNNNNNNNNNNNNNNNNNNNNNNNNNNNNNNNNNNNNNNNNNNNNNNNNNNNNNNNNNNNNNNNNNNNNNNNNNNNNNNNNNNNNNNNNNNNNNNNNNNNNNNNNNNNNNNNNNNNNNNNNNNNNNNNNNNNNNNNNNNNNNNNNNNNNNNNNNNNNNNNNNNNNNNNNNNNNNNNNNNNNNNNNNNNNNNNNNNNNNNNNNNNNNNNNNNNNNNNNNNNNNNNNNNNNNNNNNNNNNNNNNNNNNNNNNNNNNNNNNNNNNNNNNNNNNNNNNNNNNNNNNNNNNNNNNNNNNNNNNNNNNNNNNNNNNNNNNNNNNNNNNNNNNNNNNNNNNNNNNNNNNNNNNNNNNNNNNNNNNNNNNNNNNNNNNNNNNNNNNNNNNNNNNNNNNNNNNNNNNNNNNNNNNNNNNNNNNNNNNNNNNNNNNNNNNNNNNNNNNNNNNNNNNNNNNNNNNNNNNNNNNNNNNNNNNNNNNNNNNNNNNNNNNNNNNNNNNNNNNNNNNNNNNNNNNNNNNNNNNNNNNNNNNNNNNNNNNNNNNNNNNNNNNNNNNNNNNNNNNNNNNNNNNNNNNNNNNNNNNNNNNNNNNNNNNNNNNNNNNNNNNNNNNNUUUUUUUUUUUUUUCCUCUUUCUCUUUUUUCUUCUUCCUGCAGGAGAAGUUUCCUUCUUUUUUUUUUUCCUCUUUUUCUUCUUCUUCUUCUUCCUCUUUCUCAUGUACGCCAAGUUCUGCCACCCCGCCACCAACCUCUUUGCCUCCGCCGCACCCGCCUCGCGCGGCUCCGCGGCACCCUGCGCCUACCCCCAACACCGCUCCGCCGCCGCACCGCUCCUUUUUUUCUCUCUUUUUUUUAAAAGGUCAAAGCGGGCGCGGCGGAGUGAGGCGAGGAGGGAGGCGGCGGAGCGAGGACAGGAAGAGGGAGAGGGAGGAGGCGGCGGAGCGGAGCGACAGUAGGUGGAAGAGGAUGCUCGGGUGCCGCGAGAGCACCUGUCCCCGGAGUUCGACUCGUCGCAAUUCUCGUCGCAGGCGUUGUCGUCUGGGUCGGCGACGUCGUGCGCGGAGUCCCUGCACGAGGCCAUUCAAGUGCUGCAGAGCACCUGCGAUCCGGCCCAGUAGAGGGGAAGAAGAAAAAGGAGAAAUGGUGCAAUUUCGCCCAAAAUCGCACCAUUUUGUCUAAUUUUGCACUAUUUCGCCCAAUUUUGCACUAUUUCGCUCAAAAUUGUACAAUUUCUUCUUCUCCAUCUUUUCCUCUUUCUUUUUUUUAACACUAUUACACCAGUUUUUAUACCUUAAAAAAAUAUAUUUUUUAACCACUUGCGCCGCCGCCCCCGCCCGUGUCGCCGCGUUGUGUGCGAUGUUCGCCCCAGCGCUGUCCCCGGCGAGGAACACCCGCCCCGGGUCCCCACGCGCCGCCACCCACGGGCCGUCUCCGCCGCCGCCGGAGCAGGCGAGGGAGGAGGGGACAGAGCCAUCAAUGGUAGAGGCGCAGAGGUCAAGGAGAGCGAGGGUUCGGGGGAGCGCGGCGGGGCGGGGGACGAGGCUUGGGAGGGGGAAGGAGGAGGCGUUGAGGGACUCGAGGCGAGGGAGAAGACGGCGGAGCGGUGUUGGGGCGAGGCGCGGGGUGCUGCGGAGCCGCGCGAGGCGGGUGCGGCGAAGGCCAGAGAGCGCGAGGAUGGGGGUGGCGCCGCACCCACUCCGGCCGAUCCGCCACCGCCGCCGCCUCCUCUCCCCCGCCCCCACCAUCGCCAACACCCUCAUCGCCUCUGCCUCCGCCUCCAGAGCCGGCGGGUGGGUGCUGCUCCUGCAAGAAGAAGAAUAAAAAGAAAAAGAGGAAAAAAAAAAGCUGCGCCUGUAGGAAGAAGAAGAAGAAAAAGAAGAAGAGAAAUAGGGAAAAAAAAAAAACUGCUCUUGCAGGAGGAAGAAGAAGAAGAAGAGAAGAAAGAGGAAAAAAAAAAGUAGUGUAAAAUUUUUCUAAAUGGUGCAACCUGGACCUAAAGAGUGUAAAAUUUAUUUAAAAAAAGUGUAAUUUUUAUAUCAAAUAGUGCAAUUUUCUUUAAAACAGUGUAAAUUUUGUUUAAAACAGUGUAAUUUUAUUUUAAGAGUGCAAUUCUUAUCAUCUUUUUUUUUUCUCCUAUAUUUUUUAAUCUUUUCUAUAGAAAAAAUAAUUUUUAUUUUUAUUUUUAUUAUUCUUAUUUUUUUCUAUAAUUUUUUUUUGUCACCACCUUUUCCUCCCUUACUUUCUAUCACAACCACAGCGACGUCGUCGGAGGUGAUCUCGCUGCCUCUGACGACGUCUCGGCCUUCCGACGCGUAGGGGAGAAGAAGAGCCUGCGUCUCAACGUCGCUGUGCCCUAGUGGAGAAGAGGGUGGCGGCGCGGCCUCAGCAAGGUCGGAGGAUUCGGGUCGAGGCAAGGGAGACGGGCUCGUUGCCGGAGUGGGCGAGGGCGACGUCGCCGGGGCAGGGGGUGGCGUUUCCGCCUUCGCCGCUCUCUGGGAAGAGAAAGGAAAAAAGAACGACAAAAAAAAGGAGAGAGAAAAAGGUACAAGGUCAUUUUGGUUAGUGUGCUGAAAAAUCAGACCGAAUCUGCAAAAACGAAAAAGGUGGACCACUUUUGCAAAAUCCCAAAAUUAGUGGAUUUUUUAUGCAAAUUGGCCAAAUUUUUUUUUUGGCCAAUAUGCAUAAAAAAUUCAGUAAUUUUGAUAUUUUACAAAAAUGAUCACUAUUUUAAAUUUUACAGAUUUAAUUUUAAUUUUUAGAAAACUGGACAAAAUAUUCUUCUUUCUCUCUCUCUCUCAUUCCUUUUUUUCUCAUUCUUUUUUUUCUUUCUGACUCUCAUCGCCUCCUCCACCGCUUCCAUGAUCCUUGGCGACGAUAAGAAGGGCGGCACCAGCUCCUAUUCUUUUGCCUCCACUUCUGCCUUCGUCAUUCCGGCACCGACACCGAUGCCGACGCCGAAGGAGGAGAAUUCGGAGUUAACGCGGGUGAGGACGGAGCGGAUGGCAGUGAUGAGGUCGUGGCUGAGACGAUGCUCGCUGUCGCUUGUGAGGGUAAGGAUGAAGAUGCUCUCGCGCUUCUCUAAGGAGCAAAAAAGGAUGCAGAGGGUAAAAAAAUAAAAAUAAAAAAGAUAAAGAAAAAAAAAAUAUUUUUUUCCUUAAAAGACUAUUAUGUAUCGUUGUUGCUACAAAAAAGACUAAGAACUAGAGAAGAAUAAGAUGAAGUUGCACUAUUAAGAAAAAGUUGCAUUGUUUCAAAAAAAUUGCACUGUUUAGACACGAACGUUGCACUCUUUAAGACGAAAUUUGUACUCUUUGAAAUGAAAGUUAUACUUUUUGAACGAAAGUUACACUAGUUGAACGAAAAUUGCACUCUACAACUGUCAGGCCCCGAGCCCCGCCUAUUUGGCUGAGUUCGGGCGCGUCGACAGACCGCCGAACGGACAGAGUUUCCCCUGUACGUCCUAGGCGUCGCAAUCAAUACAAUGAACAUUACAAGGGUUCCAACCAGGAACAGAUAUCAAUCAUGAUUGCAUAAGGAAAGUAUCACAACAUAACACAUCCUAUGUUAUUACAUGCAUUCACAAUAAUACAUUUACUUUACAUCCAACUCCCAAAUGCAAUUAAGUUAUUACAUCAUUUGCUUAUUACAAAUUGAUACAUUGUAUUCUUUUUAUUUCCCAAAC
rnacentral:lncRNA from 1 species